GAAGAUGGCACCUCCAAUGAUGGGUUGCUGCCACAACAAGGAAGGGUUCAUGAAAGACAUCUGGUUGAAUGGCAGCAAUUGUUGUUGCUGUAGGAAGGUGGCCGCCAAUGGGUUAGCCAGUGCCAAUGGGUUAACCUGUAGCAGCUGUUGUUGCUGGUGGUAGGUGGCAGCGGUUGCAACAGCCGACUGAGCAAAUGGAAGUGACUGUGGCUGUUGUAGGUAUGCAGCGGCGUUCGACACAGCUAGUUGGUUGAAUGGAAGUAGCUGUUGCUGUUGAAAGUAGGCGAUAGGGUUCACCACGGACUGUUGUAACUGUUGUUGUUGUUGUAGGUAUGCAAUGGCAUUCACCGCAGCCAGUGGGUUUGUAGGAAGUAGCUGUUGCAGCUGCAAGUAGGUGGCAGGGUUUGGAAUAGCUAGUUGACUGAGCGCUGGUAGGAACUGUUGUUGUUGUAGUUGCGCUACAAUGGUCUGUACUAGUAGGUGAGCCGAGGAUUGCUGUUGCAAUUGGGCAAUUGAUUGUUGUAAGAUGCUCGCCGCGAGCACUUGUUGUAGCCGAUAGGCCUGCACAACUGGGUGUUCAUACCCAACAGCAGUAACUGGUGAGCACUGCGGAAUGAUGAACGCACUUGUAGCACUCACCGUGAGAGCAAGGAGUGCAAGGAGGGCAAAUAUCUUGGCAGCCAUUGUUUCUAAGAUGUUGCUAGUGCGUUUCACUUGGCAACUUUCUAAUUGCUCUCAAUGAUAUGGGUGGUGGAUUAGCUAUCGAUUUGGGCCAAUUUAUACAAGUGAGAGUUCAUGCAUAUCUAUUCAGAUCUCGGAGUUUACUAAAAAAUAGAUGAGCAUGAGAUGACAUGGCACCUAGUCAACUUCGGUGCUUAGUUAUCUAUUUUGUUGGAUUAUAUGGUAUGUGUUGGCAAGAUAGUGUCGAUUAUGUGCUAGGAAAAAGUGCCCUUUUCUAUAGGAGUUCUCUAGAUACACGAGGAAUGGCAUACAUGAUAACUUCACCUUUAUGCAUGACAAAGCCUUAGCCACAUCAUAUUUGUUAGACUUUAUAAACAUGAUGAGUAUGUAAAAUUAUGAUUUGCUCAUGUGAAUCGAAGCCUUUAUCAACAGAGUUUGUUGUAGCAUCGUCCUUAUGGUUGAAGUAUACAAUGUAAUUAUGUGAGAAGUUAUCAACCAGCGAAUGAUCAAUAAUGCUGCAAGGCCACGACUCAUUGAAGUCUCAGUAUGUCUAAAAUGCAUGCGCAUGCAAAGAAUCUAAAAAAUUGGCAUGCGCAUGCUCAUUACUAUCUUGGCCACUACCACAUACUCCCUUUGUUCUGGAGCACAAUUUAGUUUAUUUUUGUGUAAAAGCAAGCUUGUCUAACUUUGAAAAAGUUUUACAUUAGUUUUAACAACAAAAAUGCACUAUCAAGACAUAAUGACAUAUGCAACGAAACAAAGUGAUGUUCAAGGUUUUUGGUAAAUUUCUAUGAAAUAUGUCAAAGUUAGGUAAGAUUACCUUAGGGAAAAGAUAGAGCAAGUAAUAAAUUGGAGCGGAGGAGGUAUAUGUUGAACUCUACCUCUUGACUCAAAUAGAUGUGCAUCUAAUUUUCACUAAAGUCAAACUUAAAUUAUUUCCAUAUAGUAAGGAGAAUGAUAAAUUUGAUGCGGCUUUUGUUCCUUCCACCACCUAUGAUAUGAAUCUGCCUUCAAUAUACAGGUGAAGAGGAUAAUAGCCAACCUCGUAGCUAUUCGAAACAAAUAUCUCUUUGUGCUCAAAGGCAUAGAUCCAUUCAAGAAUAAAAACAACAUGGCCAUUGACAUAAACCUUGCUCAGCUAUGCUACAAAAACUCAAGAUAAAGGAGACUGAGAUGGGUGUUGUGUUGAUUUUUUAGGAGAAACACUAUAACAUCUGGACUUGGAAGUUUCAUGAAAACACACUCCUUCAUAUUCGUUUUCACUAGAACAAUGAGCACAUUGGUACACAUAAUUAAUUCCUUGGAGUUGACUCAAAUAUAUUUUAGAUUUUGUUUCACAUGAGUAGAAUCUCGUCCGAAAGAAUUUGGGGAACAUUGGGAUAAUAACCGUAAUCGCUAGGACUAGACAACAAGUUUAGGCUAAGGAAAUCUAAAAUGGCUGAAGACAUUUAAAAAUAAUAACUUCUAUUGACACAAAAUUAGAGUGAGACCAAUAAAAUCUUCAUGGCUUGAUUUACUAUUCCUUGUUCAUUUAUAAAGGAAUGUAUUUCAUGUUUCUACAAUAAUUUGCUUUAUGGGUGCUCACAUAGAUAUGAUAAGAUAUCUUUUCAACUUUUAUAUGACAUGCGAGUUAAGGUUACAUUGAUGACAGUGUUACAAACUACCUCUAGUAAACUAUCUUGUAGGUAAUAAACUUGUUCAUUUGUUUAGUUUUAACAUUUUAGAACAUGAACGUUUUCACAUUCAACACAUAGAUGCAAACUGCAAUCCAUUGAACUAAUCUAGGUGUCAUAAUGGCACUCUAUGUGGGUUCUCUCUGCAGAACAGCAGAAUGACGGUGGAUGGUUGGUACUUUAAUCUCGGGACAUUACUUUUGGGUUUUGAUAGCUCCACUCUAAAUCAUAUUUUACUAGGUACGGUGUCCAUCAGAAAAGAUCCUAUCUUUCAUAAUGCUACCUAGCAAAAAUGUGAGCUACAAUGUUGAGCAGUCAAUUUGACGUAGGUUUGAUGUCCCUCUGUAAAAUUGUCUCUGGCAUAUUCUUGGGAUAUUAAACUUCACGUUCAUGAUAAUUUUUUUUGGCAUCAAGUAUUAUACUUUGUUGUUAAUUGUUAAUGAUAGGGUCUAGUUGAUUUAAUGCCCUUGGCCUUGUCAAGUUCGUGGGCUCCAAUUAUUUCCUUAUUUUUCUACAAUAUUAUGGAGUCUUGCAUAAUUUUGCUCCAAGAUAAAAACAUAUGCACCAAAUAUUUACUAGAAACAAUAAUUAAGAGGUGUGACUUUGCAUAUCAACUUUGCACGCAUAUAUACGUUUACUCAUGAAUUUCUAUUAUGUUUUCCUUUGUGUACAUGUAUCUGACUUCAAAGAUAUUCGUCAAAGCAUAUGUGGCCAUGACUUUCUUAAAACAAGAUAUUGUAGAUGCAAGUACUCAACUCCACGCAAGUACUCAACUCCACGCAAGUACUCAACUCCACGCACAUACAGUCACAUCUAUAUAUCUCACAAACACCCACACACAGUACCAAAUGAGAAAAUUCAAGGGGGUUGGCUGGCACAUCUUGAUAUUGACAAUGUAAUGUCGUAUUGUCUACGUAUUAAUCAAGCAUUUGGCUGUAAUUAUGGUUCAUUUUUUAAUUGAUUAUAUACAAAGAAGAAAAUUACGGAAUAGACUCAGAUAAAUCUCAAUCAAUGUAUUGAUUAUUUGUGAGAAGUUGCACACGCUGAUACAAGAACAUUGUUAUCAAGUACAACUCUUUUGUAUUCUAGAAGAUGGCACCUCCAACGAUGGGUUGCUGCCACAACAAGGAAGGGUUCUUAAAAGACAUCUGGUUGAAUGGCAGCAAUUGUUGUUGCUGCAGGAAGGCGGCAGCCAAUGGGUUAGCCAGUGCCAAUGGGUUAACCGGUAGCAGCUGCUGUUGCUGGUGGUAGGUGGCAGCGGUUGCAACAGCCGACUGGGCAAAUGGAAGCGGUUGUGGCUGUUGCAGGUAUGCAGCGGUGUUCGGCACAGCUAGUUGGUUGAAUGGAAGUAGCUGUUGCUGUUGUAAGUAGGCGGCAGGGUUUGCCACGACUAGUUGACUGAGCGCUGGCAGGAUCUGUUGUAACUGUUGUUGUUGUGGUAGGUAUGCAAUGGCAUUCGACGCAGCCAAUGGGUUUGUAGGAAGUAGUUGUUGCAGCUGCAAGUAGGCGGUAGGGUUCGGAAUAGCUAGUUGACUGAGCACUGGUAGGAACUGUCGUUGUUGUCGUUGCGCUACAAUGGUCUGUUCUAGUAGGUGAGCCGAGGAUUGCUGUUGCAAUUGGGCAAUUGGUUGUUGUAAGAUGCUCGCCGCGAGCACCUGUUGUAGCCGAUAGGCCUGCACAACUGGGUGUUCAUACCCCGUAGCAGUAAUCGGUGAGCACUGCGGAAUGAUGAACGCAGUUGUAGCACUCACUAAGAGAGCAAGGAGUGCAAGGAGGGCAAAUAUCUUGGCAGCCAUUAUUUGCUAGUGCGUUUCACUUGGCUUGUUUCUGAUUGCUCUCAAUGAUAUGGGUUGUGGAUUAGAUAUUGAUUUGGUCCUAUUUAUAUAAGUGAGAGUUCAUGCAUAUCUAUUCAGAUCUCAGAGUUUACUAAAAAGCGGAUUAGCUUCAGAUGACAUGGCACCUAGUCAACUUCGGUGCUUAGUUAUCUAUUUUGUUGGAUUAUAUGGUAUGUGUUGGCAAGAUAGUGUCGACUAUGUGCUGUGAAAAAGUGCCCUUUUCUAUAGGAGUUCUCUAGAUACACGAGGAAUGACAUACAUGAUGACUUCACUUUUAAGCAUGACAAAGCCUUAGCCACAUCAUAUUUGUUAGACUUUAUAAACAUGAUAAGUAUGUAAAGUUAUGACUUGCUCAUGUGAAUCGAAGCCUUUAUCAAUAGACUUUGUUGUAGCAUCAUAGUUAUGGUUGAAGUAUACGUUGUAAUUAUGUGAGAAGUUGUCCAACAGCGAAUGAACAUUAAUGUUGCAAGGCCAUGGCUCAUUGAAGUCUCAGUACGUCCAAAAUGCAUGCACAUGCAAAGAAUGUAAAAAAUUUGCAUGCUCAUUACUAUCUUGGCCACUGCCACACACUCCCUUUGUUCUAGAGAACAAUUUAGUUUAUUUUUGUGUAAAAGCAAGCUUGUCUAACUUUGAAAUAGUUUUAAAUUUGUUUUAACAACAAAAAUGCACUAUCAAGACAUAUACAAUGAAGAAUUCAAUGAAACAAACUUGAUGUUCAAGGUUUUUGGUAAAUUUCUAUGAAAUAUGUCAAAGCUAGGUAAGUUUACCUUAGGGAAAAGCUAGAGCAAGUAAUAAAUUGGAGCGGAGGGGGUAUAUGUUGAACUCUACCUCUUGACUCAAAUAGAUGUGCAUCUAAUUUUCACUAAAGUCAAACUUAAAUUAUUUCCAUAUAGUAAGGAGAAUGAUAAAUUUGAUGCGGCUUUUGUUCCUUCCACCACCUAUGAUAUGAAUCUGCCUUCAAUAUACAGGUGAAGAGGAUAAUAGCCAACCUCGUAGCUAUUCGAAACAAAUAUCUCUUUGUGCUCAAAGGCAUAGAUCCAUUCAAGAAUAAAAACAACAUGGCCAUUGACAUAAACCUUGCUCAGCUAUGCUACAAAAACUCAAGAUAAAGGAGACUGAGAUGGGUGUUGUGUUGAUUUUUUAGGAGAAACACUAUAACAUCUGGACUUGGAAGUUUCAUGAAAACACACUCCUUCAUAUUCGUUUUCACUAGAACAAUGAGCACAUUGGUACACAUAAUUAAUUCCUUGGAGUUGACUCAAAUAUAUUUUAGAUUUUGUUUCACAUGAGUAGAAUCUCGUCCGAAAGAAUUUGGGGAACAUUGGGAUAAUAACCGUAAUCGCUAGGACUAGACAAUAAGUUUAGGCUAAGGAAAUCUAAAAUGGCUGAAGACAUUUAAAAAUAAUAACUUCUAUUGACACAAAAUUAGAGUGAGACCAAUAAAAUCUUCAUGGCUUGAUUUACUAUUCCUUGUUCAUUUAUAAAGGUAUAUAUUUCAUGAUACUACAAUAAUUUGCUCUAUGGGUGCUCACAUAAAUAUGAUAAGAUAUUUUUUCAACUUUUAUAUGACAUGCGAGUUAAGGUUACAUUGAUGAUAGUGUUACAAACUACCCCUAGUAAAUUAUCUUGUAGGUAAACUUGUUCAUUUGUUUAGUUUUAACAUUUUAGAACAUGAACGUUUUCACAUUCAACACUGUUGAUGGUGGUUAACGUCAACUUUCAUUAGAACUUUAAACCCAAAAGAAAACAUGAAAACACACCAGUCUAGGGUUUUAACUGACAAUUUCCACGAGUUUCGCAUAUUCUGUAUUUUCUAGGGUGAAUUUCAUGAAAGCCGAAAAGAGGGAUUCUAGUGCAAAAUAAACACGAAACUUAUCCACCACGGCAACAUCGCAAACGGGACGUGGGAAGACUCUGGAAGACACCCAAAGAGCCAGGGGGGCAGAGGCCGCCAGGUGGGGCCGGCCGGCCCCACCCUAGCGCCGGCCGGUGCCCUCUACAAGGGUUUCGGCCCCCCUUCUGGAAGCUUCCUCCAGGGCCUACGAUGAGUCAUCUUGGCCUUUGGUUAAAUCGGUUUGAUCCUGCGGCGCACGUCGAUCCAACCGGGAUAUAAAUAAAGUGGCAGACCCCCCUCCCUGAGGGCACCACAUUAUGGAGAUGUAGAGGCGUCCCUCGAAUGGAUGACCUCUCACCUCUAGAGAAUUAGGGCUAGACUUUCCAAUGUAGUAGAUUAGUUCUAGUUGAGAGUUAGCGAGAGCGGCGCUACGCCCGGGUUCUGGAGGAGUCUUCGGAGGAGUCAUCAGAGUUCUGGUAUAUCUUUGUAUCCUUGCUUUAAUAUAUUUUUUCUUCUCUAUUUACUUUUAUGCAUUACAUUUGAUUGGUUAGUAUAGUUGUUAUACUUUAGCAUAGGAUCUCCGCUCGCAUCGGGUGCUCUAAUUAUUAAUUGUGACUAGAGUAGUAGUUUGUAGUAGAGACAUGGUGUCUAGACUAUAGGUUACCUGAGAUUGCACCCAGUUCUACGGAUAGUUGUGGUAGCCCCAGGUGGUGACAGCCCUGACGGCCAACGUAUUCCACCACAUUUGGAUUGGUGUUGUAGGACCGUAGUCAGAUCAUCCUAGCCCCCUUCUCAUCUGUCUGUGGCUAAGUGCUCUGAUGUCCCGAAGUGUUAUUGUGUGAUUGCUUUACCUACCAUGAAUUAGUUAUUAUAGAACCCUAGUAAUAGAGAAGUAUUUGGGAACCUUAAACUCUCCCGUUGUUCUAUCACUUUAGCUAUCUACUCUUUUAUCAUAAGAAUUCUCGGGUGUGUGUCAUAUAUGCAUAAUUCCUAUCAUCGGUUACUUACCCCUACUUAAGUCUAGUUGGUGUAUUAGUUAGUAGAUACAUGAUGGUGAACUAUCAAUAUCUUUAUUCAUUGUUUCCCAGUGGUAAGAUAUAAAUAACGAUACCUGGAAUACUCCUAGUAAAAUGCUACAAUGGUUUUCUGCGCGCUUGCAGAAUCCUUCAUAUUUUAACUGUGCAUAAGAAAUACCAACAAACACCAAGAUGCAAACUGCAAUCCAUUGAACUAAUCUAGGUUUCAUAGUGGCACUCUAUGCGGGUUCUCUCUGUAGAACAGCGGUGGAUGGUUGGUACUUUAAUCUCAGGACAUUACUUUUGGGUUUUGAUAGCUCCACUCUAAAUCAUAUUUUACUGGGUACGGUGUCCAUCAGAAAAGAUCCCAUCUUUCAUAAUGCUACCUAGCAAAAAUGUGAGCUACAGUGUUGAGCAGUCAAUUUGACGCAGGUUUGGUGUCCCUCUGUAAAAUUGUCUCUGGCAUAUUCGUGGGAUAUUAAACUUCACGUUCAUGAUAAAUUAUUUUGGCAUCAAGUUUAAUACUUUGUUGCUAAUUGUUAAUGAUAAGGUGUAGUGUAUUUAGUGCCCUUGGCCUUGUCAAGUUCGUGGGCUCCAAUUAUUUCCUUAUUUUUCUACAAUAUUAUGGCGUCUUGCACAAUUUUGCUCCAAGAUAAAAACAUAUGCACCAAAUAUUUACUAGAAACAAUAAUUAAGAGGUAUGACUUUGCAUAUCAACUUUGCACGCAUAUAUAUGUUUACUCAUGAAUUUCUAUUAUGCUUUCCUUUGUGUACAUGUAUCUGACUUCAAAGAUAAUGGUCAAAGCAUAUGUGGCCAUGAUUUUCUUAAAACAAGAUACUAUAGAUGCAAGUACUCAACUCCAUGCACAUACAGUCACAUCUAUAUAUCUCACAAACACCCACGCACAGAACCAAAUGAGAACAUUCAAGGUUUGGCUGGCACAUCUUGAUAUUGACAAUGUAAUGUCGUAUUGUGUACGUAUUAAUAAAGCAUUUGGCUGUAAUUAUGGUUCAUUUUUAAUUGAUUAUAUACAAAGAAGAAAAUUAUGGAAUAGACUCAGAUAAAUCUCAAUCAAUGUAUUGAUUAUUUCCGAGAAGUUGCACACGCUGAUACAAGAAUAUUGUUAUCAAGUACAACUCUUUUGUAUUCUAGAAGAUGGCACCUCCAACGAUGGGUUGCUGCCACAACAAGGAAGGGUUCUUAAAAGACAUCUGGUUGAAUGGCAGCAAUUGUUGUUGCUGCAGGAAGGCGGCAGCCAAUGGGUUAGCCAGUGCCAAUGGGUUAACCGGUAGCAGCUGCUGUUGCUGGUGGUAGGUGGCAGCGGUUGCAACAGCCGACUGGGCAAAUGGAAGCGGUUGUGGCUGUUGCAGGUAUGCAGCGGUGUUCGGCACAGCUAGUUGGUUGAAUGGAAGUAGCUGUUGCUGUUGUAAGUAGGCGGCAGGGUUUGCCACGACUAGUUGACUGAGCGCUGGCAGGAUCUGUUGUAACUGUUGUUGUUGUGGUAGGUAUGCAAUGGCAUUCGACGCAGCCAAUGGGUUUGUAGGAAGUAGUUGUUGCAGCUGCAAGUAGGCGGUAGGGUUUGGAAUAGCUAGUUGACUAAACGCUGGUAGGAACUGUUGUUGUUGUAGUUGCGCUACAAUGGUCUGUACUAGUAGUUGAGCCGAGGAUUGCUGUUGCAAUUGGACAAUUGGUUGUUGUAAGAUGCUCGCCGUGAGCACCUGUUGUUGCCGAUAGGCCUGCACAAUUGGGUGUUCAUACCCCGCAGCAGUAACCGGUGAGCACUGCGGAAUGAUGAACGCACUUGUAGCACUCACUAGGAGAGCAAGGAGUGCAAGGAGGGCAAAUAUCUUGGGAGCCAUUGUUUCUAUGAUGUUGCUAGUGCGUUUCACUUGGCUUGUUUCUGAUUGCUCUCAAUGAUAUGGGUGGUGGAUUAGAUAUGGAUUUGGGCCUAUUUAUACAAGUGAGAGUUAAUGCAUAUCUAUUCAGAUCUCGGAGUUUACUAAAAAAAUGGAUGAGCUUCAAAUGACAUGGCACCUAGUCAACUUCGGUGCUUAGUUAUCUAUUUUGUUGGAUUAUAUGGUAUGUGUUGGCAAGAUAGUGUCGACUAUGUGCUGUGAAAAAGUGCCCUUUUCUAUAGGAGUUCUCUAGAUACAUGAGGAAUGACAUACAUGAUGACUUCACUUUUAUGCAUGACAAAGCCUUAGCUGCAUCAUAUUUGUUCUACUUUAUAAACAUGAUAAGCAUGUAAAGUUAUGACUUGCUCAUGUGAAUCAAAGUGUAAUGCCCUGGAUAGGAACACUACCGCCGAAGGCUUCCAACAACAUCUAAAUUUUAUUAUGUUUGCAAAUCAUUUAAAAUUUUGGCAGAGUUUCCCUAGUAUUUUGGGCAUCUAAACAGGUAAAUCACGUUACAAUGACGAUAUAAUCACCCAACAAUAUCUUGUUAAGCAUCCUAACCAACCAUUAAGCAACCUCUUGUUAAGCUAAACAUAUGUAAACUAGGUGUUUGUAUCAUGAAGGUGCUACUCCCGGUUCCCAUGCAUGCUGUUGUCAUUUGGUACCUAAAAACCAAAUAAACACAAGGGUGAGUAAAAACACUUGGUAAGUGCAAUUAGAACCGAAAGAAGAAAUUCAACGUUGUCCAUGAACAAAAUAUCAGAAUAUCCAUAGACAAUAGUUUAUGUGUGAAAUAGAUUAACUUGAAACCUUAGCAUUUACCGGUAAAGCCAAGCAAGUGGGGCCAACAUAAGAACCAAAUUGCACCUCCGGAUAAACAGGCACCAGAAUUGAAUGUAAAAGAAAUCAAGAAACUUGAACUUGAAUAUAAAAAGCAAAUUGCACAUGUGGAUCCACCGGAACAGGAAUUGAAUUUAAAGGAACAAUCGAAACUUGAAUUACAUAGCACACGUGAAACAACUAAAUCAAUUGAAAACUCAACAAUAGGCAUAAGCCCAUCCAUAGGUUCCUCAUGCACUUUCCUUAAGGGCUUGUUAAGUUUGGCGAGAAUCCAGCAUUCUUGCCACCCUCGGUAACAGCGCUUCCCAAACCUGAGGAGCAAACUGCCUUAGAAACUCAAUUAAACCUCUCAGUCGAACCCUAAUAUGUGAAUUCUCAUAUUUUUAGAAGACCCAAUAAAAUUUGAGUUCCUCGCUGCUUUGACCAUAACUCUCAAUUCUGUUAUCCAAAUUCAGCAAAUAAAUACAUGUCAGACAUGUACAGAAAAUUUUCUAUAAUUUGGUUUAGAAAUCCAGGACCAAUUCUGUCUCUGAAUACCUCGAAAAUAGAUCCCCAUUAGUCUAACGUUUUCUAUUCCUCCUCUUUCUUGCCUGUCACACCCCUCGCCGCCAACGCUUACGCCGUCGACGUGAGCGAUUAAGAGAUACAGAUCGGGCGAGGAACGCCGGCGAGGAAUCUUCCUCUGCCUUGCGUGUUCUAUUUUUCAAUGUCUGGAUGAUUGUUCCCCUCCACGGGUUGGGCACUUAUGUGCCAGAUACAGAGUUGGCCUUGGGCCCACAAGUCAUACACUAGAAUUGAAAACGUAAAACACAGCUACACUUCUUCUAUGCGAUGGUGUCUUCUUGGUAUUCUCUUUCUGCUAUUUCCCUUUGCCUCCGCGACGACAGUGGCCUCCCAGGAUCUACGCGCCAGCAGUAGCUAGCUAGCCUUGCUACUUCCCAGCAGCUUCACGUACUUAGCAGCACCAAGAUUAGAUGAAAGCAACUCACGGGAAAACAAUAACUAAAGUAGCAACUGAGAUACAGAAGCAAGGAUGCCUUUCUUUUUAUGAUCUAAAUUUAACGGUGGUUCCUCCUAAAUUCAUCCAACCUCCAGACAAAACAUGUUAGUAGUAAAAUGAAUUCGCUUCGACGAGAUCCACACAACCACGCACGGUGUCCGAUCGUCCAUAAGAUUCCCGGUUCAAAUACUCAAAAUUUGAUCAUCUCAUAGUGUCCGUUCGGUCAACUUAUUAAUUUUGUUUUGAAAAAUUCGGGAUAUUACACAAUGCCUUUAUCAACGGACUUUGUUGUAGCAUUGUAGAUCGUACUCAUCAUGGUUGAAGUAUAUACAGUAACUUCUUUUUAAAUUUGAGGAGACCUCCACCGGCUAUAGUGCAGUGUCUAUAUUGUAUUUCGGUUCCUCGUAUAUUACCAAAUUAUAUGUAGAUUGAUGGUUUGAGACUCUAAACAAUUUGAAAUCAAAAAGUUGUCAAGUCAACUAUAAAGUUUUAUAACUUUUAGAGAUCUAUAAUUUUUAUUUAGGGAGUUUCUCCAUCCGAGAUCGUUUACAAAAUUUGAAUUUCAAAUUUGAGAAAUUCAAACGUAGUUUUUGCAUGAUAAGAUGUUUUCAAAUGAAAAAUUUGUCAACUACAAAGUUUCAUAACUUUUUGAUAUCUACAAAGGUUACUUAGGGAGUUUUUUCAUCCGAGGUCAUUUGAAAAAUUCAAAUUUUCAAUUUUCAAAUAAAGACGCAGUUUUGCAUGACAAGAUGAACUCAAAUGAAAAAGUUGAUAACUACAAAGUUUCAUAACUUGCCGAUAUCUACAAAGUUUAUUUAGAGAGUUUUCCCAUCUGAGGUCAUUUCAAAAAUUUGAAUUUUAAAAUUUUUAAAUAAAUACAUAGUUUUGCAUGAGAAGAUGAACUCAAAUGGAAAAGUUGUCAACUACAAAAUUUCAUAACUUCUUAAGAUCUACAAUGUUUAUUAUAGUUGUUUGAUCAUUUGUUCAACCAACAUGGUGAUUCUAACAUUUUUCACAAAACUUAUAUAUCUCUCUUGCAGUUUCAUAAACUAUAAGAAAGAUAUGUAAAAUUUGUGAAUAAAUUUAUUUUUUUCACUUUGUCAAAUGAUAAAAUGAGAAAAAUAAAGGUUGUAGAUCUUGAGAAGUUAUACAACUUUGUAAUUGAAAACUUUUUGAUUUAAAUUCGUUUAGGGCUUCAAAAUUCGAUUUGAAAUUUUCUUUACCGAGUAUUUUUUUUUACACUCGGCAAAGAAGGUCUUCACCAAGUGUUAGAAAAAAAAACACUUGACAAAGAGGCUUCUUUGCCGAGUGUAAAAGAACACUCGGCAAAGAAAGUCUUUGCCUAGUGUUAAAAAAAAAACACUCAACAAAGAGGCUUCUUUGCCGAGUAUAAACAAAACACUCGGAAAAGAGCCAAAUUCCGGUAGUGAAUUGAAGUCCCAGUACGUAUAAAAUGCAUGCACACACAUAUAAUAUAAGAAAUUGGAAUGCUUAUUACUAUCUUUGGCCACUCCCACACACUCCCUUUUCUGGAUUAGAAUUCACUUUAUUUUUUGUCUAAAAUCAAAAGCUUGUGUAACUUUGAAAAAUGUUUUAAAUAAAUCUUGACAACAAAAAUUGCACUAUCAAGAGCACAACGUUCAAUGGCAUCUCGACGAAUCUGGUGGUAUACAUGGAGACCGUCCUCCAUGGCAGCAACCAUGGCAGUGCAUGCAUGCCUCCUCACCACGUGGUACGGCACCAGCUAUAAGCCUAUAUAUACCUCACGCCCAUCUUUCUUCAGCUGGUUCUACCUCUGCGUCGACUUCGGCCCCAUCGUGUCCGGCCGGUCUCCUCAUCGUGUGCAACGUUAGCUGGGGGCCUCGGCUUCGGCAUCGCCACGGCCUGCAUCGCGCUAGCCUUCCUGCUGCGCCUGCUGCCCCAUCUGGGUGACCAGCGUCAUCGUGUCCUCGACGUACACGCAGAUGUAUACCACCUUCGUCCAAAUUUGUAGUGGUUUUUGAUGUAAAUGUAACAGUGUAACACAGAGUAUAAAGUAUAAACCGUAGUUCUUUACCUACUGGUUCCCGUUCCCAUGUCCAAUCCCUGAUCAACGAGGACUCCAGCUCGGCUGCUCGAGACAACUGAUCGAUCGAUUCCGAAAAGGAAGAGCAGACUCCGUGGAUUCUAACCGGAUUAGCUAGACGAUCAACUCGAACUAUGCAAAUCCUUAGGAGUAGUAUAUAACCAGACGAUGCACGCCGUGGGAUUAAUUUACAACCGCAAGAUAGGAAGCUAGUUUUCAGCAGCCAUAUAGCUAGUUGCAGUACACGUUCUCCCUUGCCAAAAGCAACAAGAAGCAUCGCGGCAAUUCUAUCGAUCGGGCACGUACGCCGGAUGGCAGCUGCUGACGCGAUGGCCGGAGCGGCGGCUACAGACGACGAUGGAGCCGCCGUGGCGAUGGUAAAGAUGGCGGAGAUGCCGGUGGAGUUUCUCCGGUGGGUGAUGGCGCAGGACAAGGAGGACUACCGCGUGCCUACGCUGGAGGACUACACGCAGGAGGAGGUCGCCGAGGCCAAGGACACCAUCUGCACCGUCAUCGGCUGCUUGCAGGUCGCGUACGACGAGUUCGACGAGUUCCGGGCCUGGGUCGGCGACGUGAUCGAGAACGACGGCUGCGUGAUGAUCCACGAGGACAUGCUCUUCUCGGAUCCCAAAGAAUGGCAGGAAAGCGUCGACCAGGAGUGGGCAGAGGCAAGGCAGGAGCUGGAGAUGGAGCUGACGAAACCACUCGGCCAGCACCUGUGCAUGUUGUCUACGUAUCUUUCGCUCUUGUACCACUAUGCAGCGCCCAUCCCGACAUUUUGGGGGCCUUAGCUAUAUAUAUGGGUGAGAAAAGUUAAUAUUAUUAAGGCCAAUAACCAAUGUCGUAGAGACGGUAAGAACUACCGACAUGUUUUUUUUUUCAUAUUUUUGUUUAGUUUUUAAAUUUUCCAUUUACUUUUUUUUUCAUAUUUUCGUUUAGAAUGAAUAGUUUGUUUUCAUUUUCCAACAAGACUUAUUUUGGAUUUUUGCCAAAAAAAAUAGUAAGAUAAUCUAGAGAUGACGUGGUAUCUAGUUGGUUUUGAUAUUUAGUGGCCACUUUGUUGGGUUAUAUACUUUAUACGUCGGCAAGACAAUGUAACUUUGUUGGGUUAUACUUUAUAUGUCGGCAAGACAAUCUCCACAAAAUACAAUGAUCCUCUUGGCAUUUUCCAAAUACAUGGGUGACAAUAUGGCACAAUCCGUUUACCUUUACUCGUGUGUAACCUUAGCCACAUAUGGUGCUACUUUUCUUUGCGGCAGACGCUCACAUACACGAGCACACACUCAGUCCUAUAAAUGCACGCAUGCAAGUUAUUUUGCACUAUAGCCGAUGAGAUGAACCAUUCAUGCAAAAUAAAAGAAGUGGAGAGGAAGGGUAUAUGCUGCGCUGAAAUUGGAUAUGAGUAAGGCUUAUGAUAGAGUGGAGUGGCCUUUUAUAGAGAAGAUUAUGAGAAGAGGCUGGGUUUUCAUGAAAGAUGGAUAAUACUGAUUAUGACAUGUAUUACAACAGUCACUUAUCGCAUACAGGUGAAUAGUGGUUUGACUGAACAAAUCAUUUAUUCUAGAGGGUCUAGGCAGGGGGAUCCAAUUUCCCCGUAUUUAUUCUUGCUGUGUGCGGAAGGUUUUUUCAUCCUUGCUAAAUGAUGCCGAGAUGAAUGGAAGAAGUCAGGGGGUCUCGAUAUGUUCUGGAGCUCCUAGCAUAACUCACCUUUUGUUUGCAGAUGAUUCGUUGCUUCUCUUAAAAGCAAAUGAUGGGAAUGCAGCACAUCUGCGACAUGUUCUACAAAUUUAUGAGAUAUGCUCGGGGCAGAAAAUUAACAAAGAGAAAUCCUCUAUUGUGUUUAGUAAGAACACCCAGCCACAGGCAAAAUGGAGAUUCAUGGAAAUUCUUGAUCUUGCACAAGAGUCAAUGAAUGAAAGGUACUUGGGUUUGCCAGUAUAUAUGGGGAGAUCAAAAGCAAGUGUGUUUGGAAACGGAUACAGGGUUGGAAGGAAAAGUUGCUAUCAAAGGCCGACAAAGAAACUUUGAUCAAGGCGGUGGCACACACUACUACAGGAUUGAUUAACCGCAACGAGACCAUUUCCACCUCCGUGACGGGCACAGUUUUUGCCCGCCACGGUUAUUCAACCGCACGCGUAUAGGCCCGGCCACAGGAAAGCUAUAUUUUUUUUCUAGAUUCUUAAUGGAUCCAUAUGAAACCUUCUUUGUUCGAUGUGUAACGGUUCGCAGGCACGAGAUGGAUAGGUCGGAAUGGAUGUAUGGGAUGAAUCGGGUGCUUGACCCGCGGUACCUUGUCGAAGUGAGGAAGUUUAUUGCCACGGCGAAAGCUCACCGUGAGAGAUCGAAGCGGACGACAACCAUAUGUCCAUGUUCUCACUGCAAGAACCUCACAGCCUUCACGAAAGAAGGUACGGUGCAGUCUCACUUGAUUCGGUUUGGUUUCAUGGAGGGUUACACAGUCUGGACUCAUCACGGUGAAAGAGUGGACCCCAGUGGUGAUGCAUCCGGUUUGAGCUCGACGUCGACGACCAUGAACCAAGAACCUAGAGCGCCCAUCUCAUCUCCAACGACUGCAGGGCCAACCUUUGGCAACAACGACAACAUUGAUUCAGACAGAGUGGAGGAUAUACUCGGGGAGAUGGCAGAUGUUGUUGCAGAUGGCGAGGCGGCUACCAUGCAGGAACCGGAGGAUAUCGAGGUGAUCGAGGGUUUAGUCAGCCACAUCGAUGAAGACGACGUUGUGUAUGGCUCCCCUAAGUGGUUGGAAAAUUUUAGGGAGAUGAAGCAGACUGCACUUGAUCCACUGUAUAAGGACGGCGGUAAUUGUCCAAAGGAGUGUACGGUGCUCCGGUUCAACCUCCACAUGUUGAUGAUGAAGGCCCGGCAUGGCUGGUCUGAUACUAGCUUCAAUGAGCUGUUAAGUUACCUUGCUACCACGUACCCGACGGGUAACAAGGUCCCCGCAAAUACCUAUCAUGCGAAGAAGUUGAUUCGUCCAGUUGCGAUGAAACUUAGAAAGUUUGAUGCCUGCCCCAACCACUGCAUCCUGUAUCGAGGCAAGGAGUAUGAGAAUAUGACGAGUUGUCCGCACUGCGGCGCCAGUCGCUACAAGAGGAAUGCUGGAUGUCGUGUGGACGAAGACGACGAUGUGGCCUUACGGGGUCGUCCGAAGAGGAAGAAGGGAGCCAAGAAUAGCAGUGCCGCCGCCAAUCGCAUCUCAUCUCAGCAAGAUGAGGAAGAAGAGGGUUACACGCGGAGGAAAAGUCCAGCACUAUCGUUGUGGUACCUGCCUGUGACCGACCGCUUGCGUGCACUAUUCGGGAACCCAGAGGAUGCCAAGCUCAUGUCCUGGCAUGCAUCAGCUGACCGCAAGAAGGAUGAUGGCAUGCUGCGGCACCCAUCCAAUGGCCAACAGUGGAAAGAUUUUGACAAGGCAUACCCGGAAUUUGGUAAGGAUCCUAGGAACGUUCGGCUCGCGCUGAGUACUGAUGGGAUGAACCCUUUUGGUGAGCUUAGCAGCUCGCACAGCACCUGGCCGGUUGUACUCACCGUCUACAACCUACCUUCCCAUCUGUGUCAAAGGCGAAGGUAUCUUAUGCUGACCAUGCUUAUCUCAGGACCGAAGCAGCCUGGUAACGAUAUCGAUGUCUUCCUAGAGCCGUUGAUGGAGGAAAUGCAGGAGUUAUUUGAUGUUGGGGUAGAGAUGAUUGAUGCAUCCCGCAAAGAGAAGUUUACCCUAAAAGCCAUCAUCAUUGUCAGCAUCACCGAUUACCCCGGUCUCUUCUCACUAUCAGGGCAGAUCAAAGGGAAGACCGGCUGCGUAGUGUGCAUCGACGGGACCUACUACACUUAUCUCCAGGGAUAUCACAAGAUGGUGUACAUGAGGCAUAGACGGUUCCUCGUCAAGAAGCACAGGUACAGAAGAAGUGUUAUGAAUCAGUUCUUCGCUGAUGAGGAAGAGCCGCAGGGUGAAGCACCAGCUGUGGGGGUAUAAACCCCUAUACCCUUACGGCUAGACUUGGGCCAGAAGGCUUGGCCCAUUACAAGACAAGCUCAAGGUUUGGUCCGACAGCUUGGAGUUUCGCGCAAGGAAACAAGACGUGGAGAUCAAGAAGGAUUCUAGUCGGUUAGAAUAGAAAUUGAUAUCAAACUAUCUAUGGCAAUUGUAACCGACUAGGAUUAGUUUCCAGAUCUGUAACCCUGUCCUCCGGACUAUAUAAGGAGAGGCAAGGGACCCCCCUAGGACAUCAUAUUCUCUCAACACAAAUCAAUACGACCAGACGCAGGACGUAGGUAUUACGCCAACUCGGCGGCCGAACCUGGAUAAAAAGCUUGUCCGUGUCUUGCGUCACCAUCAAGUUCGUAGUUUGCGCACCGUCUACCGAUAAACUACUACCGUGGGUAUACCCCAAGGUAGACUGCCGACUAGCUUUCGUCGACAGUGGCGCGCCAGGUAGGGGGUGUGCGUGCAACUUCUCCGGCGAACAAGAUGGUUACGAUCCCAGCUUCCGCGACCGUGCCUGAAGGCCUCACGUUCACCGUCAGCCAGAUCACGUGGACGACGUGCAGCGGCGGCCUCACGACCACGGUUUCGAAAGAAACUCAGAUCCGAUCUGAGAUCACGCCGUCUCCGACCACUCGCGUGGCGGCACCGAGCGCCCGACCACCGUUCCCGCUCUACAAGGGAAAGAAGAUUGACUGCUCGGACCUUCUCCAAGCGCUUGAUCGCGCUGACUCCAAGCUACUUGAAGCCUCCCAACUAGUAGACGGAGUCCUACGUCAGCCUGAUCAAGCUGCUCCAACGGAUUUUUUCAAAUCCCGCCGGCCAACUCGUGUCGUUACACACGAACGGCUGGGAACGUCUCUGACGAUAACCUCAACCCCCUCAGGACGAUCCGUCAAGCUCAAGAAGGGAGAUCAUCCUUGCGGCCUGAACAACUCAGCCUCUCUUUACUCACGGCACAUCCAAUCCGUUUUCAGCAAGGCGGGUUGGCCGCCGAAAAGGAACGGUCGUCACUACGUCAACGUGGUGGCAAUCCGAGAACUACGGGACGGCCAGGCUUCCAGCACGAACUCGAGCACCGGUUCCGUCACCACCGAAGUUAUAAACACCGAAGACGAGGACUACGACCUGGAUUUGCCUUCGCACCCUCCGGAUUUCCCUCGUUUCCCGGUAUUCCCCCCUCGGCGAGGAGAUAUUGUCUUCAACGUCAGCGCCGACGAACCGGUCGUCGAUGGAGAAACGGAUGAGCAGAGGCAACUCCGCGAGCAGCGCAACGCCGAUCGCGCCCGACGACGUGCGGACGAGCAACAACAAAUUCCACCGCAUAAUCUCAACGACGCUUUUGACAUGGUCGGGGACCAGCCAGUCUACAAGACGCCAAUCGCCAACGUGGCUGUCGCCAUGGCUAAUCUAGAUCGGCUCCCUGAUACCCCUGAGUGCCAAGGAGUCCGGACCAGCAUCCGAGCACACAUGAUCGCCGCAAUGGGACAGACAGCCACUCUGCUCAAGAGAGUCCAGGACGUCUCUUACACAGAAGCCACCUCCGACCAGACUAAUCGUAGCCGGACCUCACCACCUCCCAGCAGGCGUCGCCGUAGCCGCUCUCCCGACAACCAUCGAAAAGAUUCACGGCGCGACGAUGGUGGUCGGGACACUGACGGUCACCGUGAGCAGAACCGCAGACGCAGUCAAGAAGUAAACCAACACAGGGAUCUCCGGCACAACAUUCCUCCCAAAGAUGCCCGGGACCGCAUUAACAGGCGUGCCACAGAAAGAGCAGUCCACGAAAACCUGCGCCGUAUUGAGUACGAUGCACCACACGGCCCCCCGGGCCUAAGACAAUUCUUCUCACACCUCCGCCAGGUCGUGUGGCCCCGCAAUUUCAAGCUCGAAAAACUUAAAAAAUACGAUGGCAAGGAAAAUCCAGAGAACUGGAUCACUCUCUAUGAAAUCGCCGUCCGAUCAGCAGCGGGAGAUGAGCACGUCAUGGCCAACUACUUCCCCGUAGUCCUCGACCAGGCUGGUCAUCAGUGGCUCCUUGGCUUGCCCGAGGACUCCUUCGACUCUUGGGAAGAGCUACGCCAGGCUUUCAUCGACAACUUCAUCGCCACAUGCGAGCAGCCUGGAAACAAGUAUGACCUCGAAAGGAUAAGGGACAGGAAGAACGAACCUCUGCGCGACUACAUCCGACGAUUCUCGGAUAUGCGCCUUAAGAUCCCAAAGAUUUCCCACGACGAGGCCAUCUCUGCCUUCAUCAAGGGCCUGCGUUUCCAUGAAGCGCUGAGGAACAAGCUGUUGCGUAAACGGCCAACAACGGUGGCGGAGCUCCUCGCCACGGCCAAAAAUUACGCCGAUGCUGACGACGCAGAAAAACUAAUCCGAGACGAUGCGAGAGGUCCCGACCCGCCUCCCCGGCGAGACGACGGUCGCGGUCGCUACGACAACAGGAACCACCGCCGCCCCGACAACCGCGAUCACAGAGAAGGUUGGGAUCGGCGGCGCGACAACCGCGACGAUUUCAGAGGAAAGCGCCCCCACGACUACGACCACGAAGUAAAUACGGUCAAGCGCCCCAACGGGCGGCGGGACUACCAAGAAGACUACAACAAAACGUUGAAGGGACCGUGCUAACUACAUCCAAAGUCUAAUCAUACCAUGGAGGAAUGCCGCAUCCUCAAAAGCAUCUAUACACGGCGGGCCGCCCAAGACGACUCCGCUAAGAAAAACGGCAAGCGAGACGGGCACGACCACGAAGACGAGGAUGAGGACCAAGAUAGGGACCUCCGACACCAAUACGUCAGCCCCACUGACGUGGUCCACUCCAUCUUCGGGGGCAAGGUCUCCAUCGAAUCUAAGCGGGAAAGAAAGCUAUUGAAGAGAGCCUGCCUCAACAUAGACAGCACGGACGGGCUGAUCGCAGACCCGAAAUUUCCAACGUGGUCGCACAGAGAGAUCUCAUUCAGCAGGAAGGACCAGUGGGCCGCCAUCCCAGAGCCAGGUCGUUUCCCUCUGAUCCUGGACCCUUGCAUCAACAGCAUCAGAUUCGAGCGCGUGCUCGUGGACGGAGGAAGCUCCAUCGACAUCCUCUUCCGCAACAGCCUGCCCGCUCUCAAGAUAUCUCCGGCACAACUAAAACCUUACGAUGCCCAAUUCUGGGGGGUUUUGCCAGGUCAGAGUUCAGUGCCCCUCAGACAGAUAACAUUGCCUGUCCAAUUCGGCACACCCGAACACUUUCGGACGGAGUUCAUCAACUUCGUGGUCACGGACUUCGACGGGACCUACCACGCUAUACUGGGCCGACCAUCGCUGACAAAGUUCAUGGCAGUCCCGCACUACUCAUACCUGGUCCUUAAGAUGCCUACGGAGAAGGGUGUCCUAACCGUCAGAGGCAAUGUCUACACCGCGUAUACCUGCGAAGAAGAGAGCUUCAAGAUCACCGAAGCAAUCGACCUCUCAAUCCGCAUGGCAGAAACAGCAACCCAAGCCGCGCAGCUACCUCCCGACCAGCUCCGAUUGCCCGAACAAGAGACAGCCAGGAAGAAUUCAAAAUCCAAGGAGUACAAAGAAGUGCAGCUGGUCGACGGCAGCUCCGAGAAGACGGCCCUCAUCGGGGCCAAUCUGGAUCCAAAAUAGGAAGACGCGCUCGUCAGGUUUCUAAGGGACAACGUCAGCGUUUUCGCAUGGAAACCCGCAGACAUGCCCGGCGUCCCACGAAACCUGAUCGAGCACUCCUUAAACGUCUCGAAGACCGCAAGACCAAUCAAGCAAAAGCUGCGACGGUUCGCUCGUGACAAAAAGGAGGCUAUUAGGACAGAAAUAACACGGCUUCUAGCAGCCGGAUUCAUAAAAGAAGUGUAUCACCCCGAUUGGCUCGCCAAUCCGGUUCUUGUACGCAAAAAGAAUAAUGAAUGGAGAAUGUGCGUUGAUUACACAGAUCUCAAUAAACACUGUCCUAAAGAUCCUUUUGGUCUCCCUCGCAUCGACGAGGUGGUCGACUCAACGGCCGGAUGCGAACUCCUCUCUUUUCUAGACUGCUACUCUGGUUACCACCAGAUUUCGCUAAAGGAAGGCGAUCAGAUCAAAACAUCUUUCAUUACCCCUUUCGGCGCAUACUGCUACACGACCAUGUCAUUCGGACUCAAAAACGCUGGAGCCACUUAUCAACGGGCCAUCCAGCAGUGCCUCCACGACGAGAUUCGUGAUGACCUCGUCGAGGCCUAUGUAGACGACGUGGUCGUAAAAACAAGGGACGCGAGCACCCUAAUCGACAACUUAGACCGAACUUUCAAGGCGCUUAAUAGGUACAAGUGGAAGCUCAACCCCAAAAAGUGCAUCUUCGGUGUUCCUUCCGGUCUACUGCUCGGCAACGUUGUCAGUCGCGACGUCAUACGACCAAACCCUUCAAAAGUAAAAGCAGUACUCGACAUGCGACCACCCAAGAACGUCAAGGAUAUUCAGAAGCUUACCGGAUGUAUGGCCGCCCUCAGUUGCUUCAUCUCAAGGCUAGGAGAAAAAGGCCUCCCUUUCUUCAAACUCUUGAAAGCGUCGGAAAAAUUCUCUUGGACAGAAGAAGCCGACGCCGCGUUCACUCAGCUUAAGGCUUUCCUCACUUCACCACCUGUCCUUACAGCGCCUCCGCCCGAUGAAGACCUACUCCUUUACAUUGCUGCAACCGACAGGGUUGUUUCCACAGCAAUAGUGGUCGAGCGAGAUGAACCAGGUCAUGCCUAUAAAGUCCAGAGACCCGUUUACUUCAUAAGUGAAGUCUUAAACGAGUCCAAGGCCAGGUACCCACAAAUACAGAAGCUCAUAUACGCCAUUCUAAUAACAUCAAGAAAGCUGAAGCACUACUUCGACGGCCAUCGAGUCUUGGUAACCACCAGUUUCCCUCUCGGGGACAUUCUGCGCAAUAAAGACGCCAACGGCAGAAUCGUGAAAUGGGCGAUGGAAUUAUGCCCAUUUUCCCUAGAGUUCCAGAGCCGCACCACAGUCAAGUCUCAGGCCCUGGUCGAUUUCAUUGCUGAAUGGACGGAUCUCAACGAGCCUCCCGUUCCCGAUGUCUCCGACCACUGGUCAAUGUUCUUCGACGGAUCCUUAAACAUCAACGGUGCCGGCGCUGGGAUACUGUUCGUGUCACCUAACAAGGACAAACUGCGUUACGUCCUUAGGAUCCUAUUUCCAGCGUCAAACAAUGUCGCCGAAUACGAAGCAUGCCUGCACGGCAUAAGGCUCGCCGUUGAGCUGGGAGUCAAACGCCUUUAUGUCUAUGGCGACUCCGCUUUGGUUAUCAACCAGCUCAACAAGGAGUGGGACGCAACCCACGAGAAGAUGGAUCUCUACUGCAAAGAAAUUCGCAAAUGGGAAACCAACUUCUACGGCAUAGAGUACAUCCACGUGGUCCGAGAUAAGAACCAGGCAGCAGAUGCGUUGUCGAAGUUAGGGUCAUCUCGGGCCUAGAUCCCACGGGGUAUUUUCGUCCAGGACAUCCACGAGCCUAGCAUAGGCUCCACCCUGGUCGAAAAGCAACCUACCGAGGCAAUGCUCAUAGACGAUGCCACUCCGACAACCGGUGGUCGUGAUUGGCGUACACCGUUCAUCAAGUAUAUAUCGGACGGGACAGGCUUUCAGGACAAAACAGAGAACGAGCGCCUCAUUCGACGGUUAAAGAACUACAUCCUGGUCGACGGUAAACUCAUGCGAAAAAAUGCAAGCUCUGAAGUAUUGCUCAAGUGCAUAUCCCAGGAUGAUGGUACCAAGCUCCUAGAAGACAUACAUGCUGGAUCCUACGGCAAUCACACCGCAUCCAGAACGUUGGUCGGAAAAGCCUUCCAGGCAGGUUUUUAUUGGCCAACCGCGGUCAACGACGCAGAAAAACUGGUUCGACACUGCGAGGGAUGUCAGUUUUUCGCUAAGAGGACCCACGUACCCGCUCACGAAAUUCAAACCAUCCCGUCGUCCUGGCCCUUCGCUUGCUGGGGGCUUGACAUGAUCGGGCCAUUUAAACCAGCUCCCGGCAACUUCAAGUUUGUUUUCGUGUUAAUCGACAAGUUCUCCAAGUGGAUCGAAUACAUGCCUCUGGUCAAAGCAACCUCCGAGAAGGCUGUGGAGUUCCUCAAUCAAAUCAUACACAGAUUCGGCAUCCCGAACAGCAUAAUCACCGACCUGGGUACUCAGUUUACUGGCACCACAUUUUGGGACUUCUGCGAUGACAGGGGCAUAGUCAUAAAAUAUGUGUCAGUGACUCAUCCACGGGCCAAUAGUCAAGUUGAACGCGCAAACGGAAUGAUCAUUGACGCCCUAAAGAAAAGGCUGUACAACGAGAACGACAGAGCACCCGGUCGAUGGAUGAAAGAGUUACCUGCCGUGGUUUGGGGCCUCCGUACUCAGACCAGUCGAAACACAGGAGUAUCUCCCUACUUCAUGGUUUACGGCUCCGAGGCAGUCCUGCCGUCUGACAUAACCUUCGGAUCUCCUAGGAUUGAACACUUCGACCAGGCGACAGCCGACAACGCCAGAGAACUCGAAAUCAACUGCAUGGAGGAAAAGCGUUUGAAUUCUUGUCUCCGAACAGUAAAAUAUCUCACGGCAGUCAGGCGAUACCACAACAGGAACGUCAAGGACCGUUCCUUCGUGGUCGGCGACCUGGUACUUAGGUGGAGAACAAGCCAAGAGGGAAUGCACAAGCUCUCCACUCCCUGGGAAGGACCCUUCGUGGUCGCCGAAGUCACACGACCCACGUCCUACAGAUUGGCAUACCCAGACGGGACACGCGUGCCUAACUCUUGGCACAUAGACAAACUGCGACGAUUUUACCCAUAAGUUCUAAUAACUUUCGCUUGUAAAUAUCUUAUAAUUGUCAAUAUUAAAGUUUUCUAUUUUUUGCCUAUACUUUGUUGCACGCAGAACUCUUGGCAAACCUUCUGCAACGGAAGCUCUUAGCGACUACCAAGUCAAAUACGGUGACACGUCACUCAGAUAAUUAUACAGCGCUCAAAAUAACAGUCAUGACAAAGCAAACUUUAUUACAAACUUUAUAUACAAAGUUUACAAUAAAUAUCCUGACGGGCAGACGCUAGUCUAUUCCUACAGACUACCCUAUCGGCCUAACUGCUCGGGCUGAUCACCCGUUUGGCCCUGCUGCCCGGACGAAGGGGUCGGGCCCACCGGCGCCUUGCUGGUCGAGACCGCAGGCGUCGACCGCCCAUCUCCCGCAACAGACGCGCCCGACAGCUCCCUGGCCGACCUGUCUGAGCCUGGCUGGUCGGGGGGAGUGGCCGUUCCGCACAGAUUGAUGUCGCCGAUCACCAUCGACGACAAGUCCAGCAGACCACCCCGAAGCUCGUCCGCCUCCUGCGGGCCGACCUCCUUGGGGUACCCCUUCUCCAGCCUGGACAAGUCGACCAGGGGGUAAUGGGCGCGCACCAUGCUAAGGACAUGCGCACCAGCGAACUCCCCAGCGUCCUUCACAAAUUGCUGGAGCCAGUCCCACGCCCGUUGCGCCUUCUCCACCGGAGUCAACUUCGGCGCGCGGGGCUGGCUCUCCGGGAGCUCGGGACUGAUCAGAUCCAGGACCGGGGAUACUCCCUUCCAGAUCUUACAACAGUUGACCUUCCAGGAGUCCCAGUCCUUGACCAGCUCAUCCAGGUGCUUCUUGGCGUUCACCUUGAGCUCUGCAAGUCAAGCAGGACGUUAUCUUCGACAUAUCAAAAAACAAAGGGGGCGACAAGCGGCAGAUAACGAGGCGGUGCGUAUUACCAGAUAACUCCCGGUCCUUACGACCCAACUCCUCUCCUGCUCGACGCCCGGACUCCAGCGCACCAGCGAGCUCUUGGCUGAGCUGCUCCUUCUCCUAUCGGAGGCGCGUCACCUCCUCCUCCAGGUCUAAGUGAAUCAUAACCUGGUCAGCAAAGCGAACUACACAGCUACACGAAGGUGCUCGGAUCGCGUGACUAACCUUCUCGCUGACGGUACUGGUCGGCCAAGCGACGGGUAAGCUCGAGACAAUGCUCCUCUUGGGCAUUCAUCUCGGCCACUUUCUCCCCAACCUCCGAUCGCAGCCGGUCCACCUCCGCGGCUAGGGCCUUGUUCUCGGCCACAACGCCUUCUAUCUGGUCGAAGCACCGUUUCCGGUACUUCGCCGUUUUCAUCGCGCCCUACAAAACGAACAUAUGACAACCAAGCAAGACAACGUACAGAAUGUACAACAGUGCAAAGAACCGCUUACCUUGACUUCGUCGACGAGGCGUUUGGCCGCGCGCUCGACCCUGGCGGCCUCCUCGGUCUCGGCGAGCUCCUCAUGCCCGAUGAAGUGAUCCCCGCGUUGGCGCCACACAUACACGUGUUGGCGGCCAUCGCGGGGACGACCUUCAAUCUCCUCCACCUCAUCGUCGGAGGCCGCCUGGGUUUCCUCCUCACCCGUCGUUUUGCCCCCGGUAGCAGUCGAAGGCAUUACUGGCCCCCGGGCCAGACCCGGGGAGCCUGCAGUCGAAGCGUCCCCUGCUCGGGGCGGCGUGGGGACUUCGCUCUCCUCGGCAGGAGGAGGGGUCGGGGCUCUCCCCUCCCUUUCUGUGGAGUUCGCUGGGGGAGGUGCCCCUGUAGCCUCCUCAGCCCUGGCCGGGCUGCUCGCCGUGGUCGGUGCCGCGGCUGGGGGCUCCUCGGUGCUCACAGGCACGGCUGCAGCCGCAGGCUGCUCCGUGGUCUGCGGCGCCGCGUCUUCAGCAGCGCAGGCAGGCUCACCCGCCCCCUGGCCGGCGGCAUGGCCGGGGUUGACAUCCGACGCCGCGCUAAAAGAACAAAAGUACAAUAAAAAAAAAGCCAAAAUACGUAAGUCGAACACUUACAGGUCCGAUCGACGGUGGGUCGCGGUGAACCUCCUCCUCGUCCGGCCAGUCGGCACCUGCGCCCCCAUCUCGACAACGCGCGGAGCAGGAGGGUCGCUGGCCACCCGAUCAGUAGUGGCCGGCGCACUAUCUGGGCGGUUCCGAGGUCGUCGAACUAGCGACGGUGCGGCCUCCUCGUCGUUGUCGUCGUCGUCGUCAACGAUCCGCACGAGCCGACGGCGCUUCGGCGCUUGGCUGCUCUCCGCCGGCAACGUCGGUACCGGCAAAGGAUCUGCCGCCAGUGGCCUUUUCCCCGCCACCCUCUCCUCGGUGGUCGGGACGGGGCGGGCCUGGUCCUCCUCACUGCUGGUGUACCGAUCACACCGUGCAGCGUCCUCUAAAGGCGGAUCCUCCCUUGUGGGAUCCUCCAUCCCAGGCGCUAGUGACACAUACACUGUGCACCUAUCUACAUCUCCGAUCUACAAAGAGAAAUACAGACAAGUCAGCAUCCGACGAUAUAACGAAGGCUAAGGAGUCAGUCAGUAAAGGACAUUACCUUAGGGGCUGGUUGCCCCAGCUUGAAAGCUUGCACCCGAUCACUACCACGGAUGAAGCCCCCAUCAGUAAAGUUGAACAAUUCGUACAACAACUGCUGCACCUCUUCCUUCUCCAGGACCUCAGGCCUCAUCCUGGUCGGGUCCUGGCUUCCGGCGUACUCAUACGCCGAGUGCACCCUCUUCUGGCAGGGCAUCACUCGGCGGCAAACAAAGUUCCCGACCACCCCUAGCCCGUCCAAGCGCGACCAGUCGAUCAGCUUCAUCAGGUCUGCUACCUGUCGAUCGAAUUCUGGGCGGUCGGUCCAACUGACCCUCUUCUCGGGGAUGUACCCCAUGUCACAGAACGUGGAGCUGCCCGGCUCCUCCCUGACGUAGAACCAUUUCUUAUACCACUCGGUAAGAGAGGUAUUCCAAGGGCAGUUCAGGUACCGGUUCUUCAUCCCGUCCCGGAGAUUGAGGUAUACUCCACCUGCAAUCUUGGAGCCUCCAACUGCUCCCUUCUUCCUUAAACAGAAAAGAUAACGAAAGAGAUCCAAGUGCGGCUCUAUGCCCACAUAGGCCUCGCACAAAUGGAUAAAAGUGGAAAUGAGGAGAAUGGAGUUCGGGUGCAGAUUGCAAAUCCCGAUCUCAUAAUACAAAAGAAGACCUUGAAGAAAAGGAUGAACAGGAACCCCAAAUCCCCUCUUAAUGAAAUCUUCAAACACGACGAUCUCACCGGCGCGGGGGUCGGGGUAGCUCUCCCCCUCCGGUGCCCUCCAGCCGCCGAGCUCCGGGCUGUGCAGAAGCCCCAUAUCGACGAGGUCACCAAGAGAUUUGGUGGUGCUGCGGGAUUUCUUCCACUCCUUGGCCAUCAGUUCGGCCCUCUUCUUGGAGUCGAUCUUCGCCAUUGGAGGUGAGGAAGUGGACUUGAGUUAGGAAGAUGCCGGUGAUUGAAAGAGGCAAGAGUGGAAGGCUUGAAGGCAAUGGCAGGGUAAGCAGUAUAGGCGGAACUGUCGAGCUCUUAUAACCCGCAAAUCCACCUCUCCCACUUCCCGUAUUCUCGGGAAGUGGGCGGGCCGUGCGGCGGAUGUGGCGUUUCGGUUUUCAAUGAUUAUAGACGAUUAAUGCGGCGGAGUUUUCGUACCAAUUGAUGGUUUCCUUUUCUCAAACCAUGCAAAGGGUGGCUGCACAGUUGCCAGGCGCAACUUUUCAUGCAUCCAUCUGACAUCCCGUCAGGAGGCCUCGUCACGUCAACUUUAACUGGAAAGAUCUUUUCAAAAACAAGAAGACAAAUAUGGCAGAGAGUCAACAAUCCGGGGACUGUACCGACCACCGAGCACUUGAUGCUCGGGGACUGGUCGCCCAGUCUAUCGACUCAGAACUUCAAAGACUGUACCGACCACCGAGCACUUGAUGCUCGGGGACUGGUCGCCCAGUCUAUCGACUCGGAACUUCAAAGACUGUACCGACCACCGAGCACUUGAUGCUCGGGGACUGGUCGCCCAGUCUAUCGACUCAGAACUUCAAAGACUGUACCGACCAUCGAGCACUUGAUGCUCGGGGACUGGUCGUCUAGUCUAUCAGCUCGGAACUUCAAAAUAUCACACCAACCACUAAGCGCUUGAUGCUCGGGGACUGGUCGUCCAGCAUAGCAACGCAGGAUUCUAAGGAGCGCACUUGGUACUUGGGUCCUGAUGGUCAUACUAUUGUACACCAGGGGACUGGUCGAUCAGUCUGUUCAAUUGCAGACGGACUAGUAAAAUUAAUUUUUUAGACCUUGCUACAAGGCUCAUACUUCGUCUUCCAGCAAGCUCGGGGACUAUAUCGGUACGAUGCAUCUGGCGAUGCAUCUCAGUUGCAGAAUUUCUUUGAGGACUUUUCUUUUGACCCUGGCACCACGUACCUACGUCACCUACUACCAGGCUCGGGGACUAAGUGGGCACACUUCACCUUGCGGUGAAUAUGCUUGCUUUUUUGAGGUUUAUACUUUUCUUAAAAGUAAAGUGGGCACACUUCACCAGGAAAGAAUUUUUUUUAAAUUUAGAGCACCAUGCAUUCAUCGAACAACCAGCUUCUUCGAUGUCAACGUUGAUCAACUGUCUUUUGAGUUGGUCAAAGUACCGUUGCGACUGUUUGGGUGACUUUUUGUUUAUUGAAGACGUCAAGCCUCACUGAUCGAAGAAGCUCAAGAUGGCGUGUUACAUCACAAUACAUGGUGCUCGGGGACUAGCUGUGGGGGUAUAAACCCCUAUACCCUUACGGCUAGACUUGGGCCAGAAGGCUUGGCCCAUUACAAGACAAGCUCAAGGUUUGUUCCGACAGCUUGGAGUUUCGCGCAAGGAAACAAGACGUGGAGAUCAAGAAGGAUUCUAGUCGGUUAGAAUAGAAAUUGAUAUCAAACUAUCUAUGGCAAUUGUAACCGACUAGGAUUAGUUUCCAGAUCUGUAACCCUGUCCUCCGGGCUAUAUAAGGAGAGGCAAGGGACCCCCCUAGGACAUCAUAUUCUCUCAACACAAAUCAAUACGACCAGACGCAGGACGUAGAUAUUACGCCAACUCGGCGGCCGAACCUGGAUAAAAAGCUUGUCCGUGUCUUGCGUCACCAUCAAGUUCGUAGUUUGCGCACCGUCUACCGAUAAACUACUACCGUGGGUAUACCCCAAGGUAGACUGCCGACUAGCUUUCGUCGACACCGGCGCAGACUAGUUGGGGGCCAAAGGUGUAUGAGAUGGUGAAGGAUAUGGAUCACAUAGAGUUUGGCAAGAAGAAGAAGAAGGUACCAGAAGAAGAGGGGACAAAACAUACAAGGAAGAGAAAGCGGGACACGAAGGAGGACGCCGCACCGCUUGUCCCUUUCAAGAAGAAAUCGAUUUUCUUCAAGUACCUGUCAUACUGGAAAACCCUGAAAACACCCCAUGCCAUUGACUGCAUGCACCUCGAGAAAAACGUCUUUGAUAGCACCAUCGGUGUCCUAUUGGACAUCAAGAGCAAGAUGAAGGAUGGCCUCAAGUCACGGUUGGAUCUUGUGAACCAGGGCAUCAGGAAGGACCUUCACCCGGGUCCGACUCAUAACGGCAAAGUCGAUCUACCAGGUGCGUCUUACAACCUAAGGCAUGAUGAGAAGAUUGCUAUGCUCAAGUUGUUGAGGGGUAUCAAGGUGCCGACCGGUUUCUCUUCCAACAUCAAGAGUCUGGUGUCCAUGAAAGACCUCACACUAGCCGGCUACAACUCACAUGACUGUCACGUCAUGCUGACGGUGUUCCUUCCAAUCGUGAUUAGGGCUAUCGGUCCAGAAUACGUGAAGAUGGUGGUCACUCGGAUGUCAUACUUCUUCAACCGUAUCACCCAGAAGGUCAUCGGUAAGGCUGACCUGCCUGCCCUUAAGGAGUUCAUUGCAGAGACCCUCUGCCAGCUCGAGAUGUGCUUUCCCCCAUCUUACUUUGAUAUUAUGCCACACCUGAUGAUGCACAUGGUUGAUCAGAUCGAGCAACUUGGCCCCGUGUACCUACACCAGAUGUGGACGUACGAGCGGUUCAUGUCCACCCUCAGCAGAUACGUCCAUAACCGUGCUUACCCAGAAGGCUCUAUGAUCGAGGCAUACACAACUGAGGAGUCCGUGAACUGGUGCAUGAGGUACAUAAGAGAUGGGAGAGCGAUUGGGAUGCCUGUCCAUCAGCACGAGGGCAGAACCGCGGGGUUGGGGUGUACUGGACGCAAAGUACGCACCGAUAUACCAUAUAAAGAUGUGGAACAAGCUCAUUACAGUAUCCUUCAUCAGUUAGUGAGCAUGGAGAAGUACGUUGACAGACAUGUCGAAGAGAUCCGCGUCGCGCAUGAUGGACAACACACAGAGGAAUGGGUCCAGAAAGAGCACAAGAGCACUUUCCUAUCCUGGCUUAAAGAGCAACACAUACCCCUAGAAGGCUGCUCUGAUAAAGAUACAGACACCGUUAAGAAGCUUGUGCUAGGUCCGUCCAGCAGAGUCACCACGUGGCAAGGCUAUGACGUCAAAGGGUACCGGUUCCACACGAAAGAAAAGGACAAGAAGAGCGCCGCACAGAACAGCGGUGUUCGAUAUGAGGGUGUCGACGAGGCCACAAACUCGAGGACGCAAUACUAUGGGCAGGUCGAAGAAAUAUGGGAACUUGACUAUAGCAAAGACGUUCGCGUAACCGUCUUCCGAUGCCACUGGGUUAACCCAAAAACGGUUGUGGUGGACAAUUAUGGGCUAACCACCAUGAACCUCAAAAGUACCGGCUACAAAGAUGAUCAGUGGGUACUUGCAACCAAUGUCGCGCAAGUGGCCUACUAUAUCUAUCCGGAGGACACAAAGAGGCAUGUGGUUGUUUCAGGAAAGCAACGCAUCGUUGGAGCUGAUGGGGUACAGAGCCCAGAACAAUACAACAACUAUGAAGAGCUCGAGCUAUUUACCGAUCUACCAAAGAAGGUGAAGGCCAUCGAGGACCGUUGUAACAAGAGUGGAAUGAAGCCGUGGACCCGACAUGAUGGUGAGGUGCGGUCUGUGAAAGCACCUGCACCAAAAUGAGAGAACUAUUUAAGAUAAUGGGCAAUUAUUGUAAUACCUCUUUUUAAGACAAGUCUUAUAUUUAAUGAAGUAGUGGACAAUUAUACAUAGCACACACAUCUAUAUGUAAUGGAGUAGUAGUGGAUAAUUAUUGUUUAAUAUCUCUUUUUUAAUAUGUAAGUUUUGUAAUUCAGCUAUUUAUAAAUGUCAAUUUAUUAAUAUCCCUGUAGCUAUUUACAAUUUUAAAAUUAUCAAAAAAUUAUAUUAUAAAAGUAAAAAGCUUCUGUUCAGGGAAUAACCGCAGCGGGCGUCUUAACUUGCCCGCUGCGGUAAAUAUUAACCGCAGCGGGCGUCUUAAAGUGCCCGCUUCGGUUAAUAUUUACCACAGCGGGCAGGUUAAGACGCCCGCUGCGGUUAAUGUUAACCGAAGCGGGCACAUUAAGACGCCCGCUACGGUUAUUCCCACACUAUAAAAGCAGGCGGCCCUCUGCCCUAAAAUUAGUCGCGCGGUUCUUCCUCACCCGAAGGGCUGCCGAAUUUCGAACUCCCGCCUUCGCCGCCGCCGUCCCCGUCCACGCUCCAUCACCGUCACCCGCUCGAACUCGCCUGCUUCAUCCCCGUCCGCCGUCCGCCACCGCGGGACCUUCACCGGCGCUUCGUCACCGUCGGCCAUCCGCGGGACCUUCACCGGCGCCAUCCACCGUCCGCUGCACUUCGCCACCAGGUAUGCUCCCUCCUUUCUCUUCCCUUUCUUCCUUAGCGGAGCCGAGCACUUCCUCCCUAUUCCCUCCAUCGUUCAAAUCGACCCCACCCCCGCGGCGCGCGCCUCGGGUCCCCGUCUCCGCGGAUCUCCGGUGAGUCCUCUGUCACCCGCCAUCCGUGUAACGCAGCCGUGACCCUGCGGUAGGGGAAGGCUAAGGCCUUCACAACACCCUAUGAAGAAUACAAGUGAAGCAAAAAGAACCUCAGAAGCAAAUGUUUUUUGAAGUGUUUAUGUCUAUGUCCAGAUCUGCUUGGGUCUUUCAAGUUUAAUUGUAUACUAGAUAUGUGUAUUACAAUUAUAGAAUUCAUGUUUUAUGUUCUUAUUUUUUCAGUCUAUAACAAUUCCCUGAAUUUCAAUCAGCGCAAAAUGCUUUAUCUUAUAUGCUUGUAGGCAUCAAGCAGGUAGUGUCAAAUGCCAUGGUUUGUGUGGAGUGAUGCCUAAAUUUUCUCUCUCUUCUUUGCAUGUCGAGUGCAGUAACUUCUCAAUUUAUAUUAGACAUCCCAAAUCAUUGUUUCAAGUACUGGGAUGUUCAAUCUGCAAUGUGGCUUCUUGAUUUGAUUGAGUAGAUCUGUGGUCUCUAGUCAGACUUAUUUGUUUAGCUUAGCUCUAAAAUUUUAUAUUAUUCCAAGUUGUGUUCACGAGAACUCCAAAAUGUUCAAUCUGCAAUGUGGUUUCUGUUUGCAAGUGCCACAAAACUGAAAUCAUUUCGCCAGACCACAUCCAGUAGAACAAGUGCUAUGUUCCUAGGUAGACUAAAUGUGUAUGCUGCAACCGUGUAGGGUCACAAUUUUUGAAACAUUUUUAGGUUCACAACACGGAAGUCAUCAGAGUAUAUUUUGGUUCUUGUGUUUUACUUUGUAUUUGAUUCGUGUUCUCAAUGCAGCAUACACAUUUAGGUAGCAGCUGUUUUGUGUGGAUAUGAAUCUUGCAUAAUGUCUGUUACGAAUCUUGCACAGUUAACUGCUUUAAACUGAAAAAAUGGCUAUUCAUUUCAUAUCAUUUUAGCUGGUUAGUUUUUGCUCAAUUGAAGCUUUGUUCUCUUAUUUUUUAUGCUAAAACUGCCAGAUUAGUAGUUUUCUUUGUCUCUUUCUAUCUGUUAGGAGGAACUAAGCUUGCUGCAUUUAAACUAUAUAUACUUGGACAAUUGCAAAAAUUCCAGUAAAUAAUCAUGUCCAUCAUAUCCUAAGCCCACAGCUUGCUGCAUUUGCAUAAUUUGCAUUUGCAUGAUUUGUAGGGUAACUAUUUGUAAGAGUAUUGUGUUAAAUAAUUUCUAUGCUCUAAGAUAUUUGCACAUCUUUAAAUAGUUUCUCACAUUUGCACAUAGAAAUGGCGGACGACCCGUUCCAGAAUUGGAGGGAGCCUACCCCUCGCCACCGCAAAAGAAACGUCGAACCGAGGAAGACGUAGAUCCGACGUACAAUCCGGUGGAUGACAAAGCCCACAGUGCACAGAUCCCAGUUGUGCCUCGGGCGUUAGACUUUGGGUCCGGAGAAGAGAACAGACAUGAAGAAGGCCCCGCUCCCUCCACGACAACCUCAGAAUCCAAGCAGAAGCGGAGGAGGGGGCAACACGGGAGGCACCAAAGGGAGUUGACUGACGUGGUGCACGUGAUCCUUGAGGUGGGGCCAGAGGGAAACCCAGUGAGUCCGCAAGGGGUACUUGGCCGGUUCAGCAACCAAGUGUCCUGCAUAGUCAGAGAUAAGGUGUUGAUCACUUGGCCGAGCUGGCAUCAGGUCCCGAAAGACGUCAAGGGCAAUGUAUGGGGUGAGGUUACCCGGAAGUUCACUUAUCCCGAAGGCGCAGACAUGGAGAAGUGUUGUGAGUGGGCCAUGCACGUGGCGUCCUGUGCCUUUCGCAACUUCAAGUCGAUGCUGGCACGAGACUUUCUAAAGAAGAAGAAGUCACCAUGCGAGAAAUACACUAUGGUGAAGGAGCAUGUGUGGGAAGAAUUCUGCCGAAUGAGGACGACUGCUGAAGCAGAGGCAAAGAGCGCCAAGUUCAGUGCUCUGGCGAAACAAAACAAGUAUCCCCACCACUUGGGCAUGAUUGGCUAUGUCGGACAUAGGGCUCGAUGGCAGGCAGAAGAACAGGCUAGACAGGCUGCUGGGAUUCCUGAUCCAUACGAAGACGUCGAUGUUAGAGCUAAGGAGUUCAUGUAUGCCCGUGUUCUAAAGAAGCUAAAGCCAGGCGCGACCAAGUACAACAAGCCGCAAUAUGAGGAGUUGGAGAAGGCUCUCGUCCAGGCCGCCAAAUCUAAGGACAACAUCGAGGUCCGUAGGGGCCAUGACUUGCUGACCGAGGUCCUCGGAACCCCUGAGCAUCGCGGCCGUGUUCGUGGAGUCCAGUGCAAGAUGAGCUAGAAGUUGGUCGAGUCGUGGCAGGCCGACGCAUCCGCAUACAAGUCCAGGCAGAAGUACAAGGACACGUUGUAUCAGAAAGGCUUCGAAGAAGGCAUGGCUGAGGUGAUCAAACACUCAAUAAAAGAAGCCUUCACGAGCAAUGAGCCUAAAAUGGUGGCGAUGAGGUCACAGAUGUUUCGCGAGGCUGGCCUGGCCACGGCUCCACUUCAACAACCGCAAGGGCUGCCGAUGAUCGAGGGUCAACCAAUGCACUGGACCGAGGACGUCCAGAAAGACACACACGUCCAGCUCUUGAUCCCGUUCGGAAGAUCCAAGAAGAUGUAUAUAGCUGAGGGAAUGCUACAUCCCAAAAGCAUAGAUUUCAGCCCAGAGGAAAUCCCAAAAGGCUAUGUGGUUGUGACCCCACUCUGGAAUGUGCCAGAGCAAGAAGAGUAUGAAUUGGACCUUCCAAACAUCCAGCACGUCAGAUUUCUUAGGCAGGCCAUUGGUCAUGAAGUUCUAUGGAACAAGGAAGACAUUGAGAUCAUUCCACCGACACCAACUCCGACACCGACACCAGGAUCGCAGCCAUCAACUGUCGGAUCACAACGAUCAGUGGCUGGAUCUUGUCCCCCAGAUGAUCCUGAUGGUAGUGACGAUGAUGCUGAAGGCAAUGGCGAGGACAAGGGCAAAGGACAAGGCGAUGGCCAUGGCCAUGGCCAGGACAAGGAGAAGGCACAAGACAAGGACGAUGGCGGAGAUAAGGAGAAGGCACACAUAGAUGAGGGUGACAAAGACAUGGGUGCAACCUGUGCCCCUCCUCCAAAUAGUCCGCCUCGGAGCCCAAGAAGACAACAAGAAGGAGGCAUGGAGGAGGCAACAAGGACUAAGACACCACCGCCAACAUCUACUCCUACGCUUGAAGCUCCUCCUCCACCGAGCAAGAAUGCAGGCAGGACCGCCACAGUACUCCCGUACACUACUACGUCUGAAAGGUAUGAGACAAACAAACAUAAUAUUCUCGUAACCUUUCUAACACAUAAAAUGGUAAUAACAUUUGUAAGUAUGUUUUGCCAGGCCUACAAAUACUCUCCAAAUCAAUCUAUUUCCCGAGGCGGAAGACUGUCCUGGCCACUAUGAGCUUGGAAAGUUCAUGCUACCUAAGGCCCAGCUCAUCGACGAUGAAAAGUGGGAUACAAGGAAGUUCCACCUGUGGUAUAUGGAAGCGGCAAAAGCCGGGAUGACAGGUUUCACCAUCAAGAUUCCCUCGGAGUUGUUCCACUUGCCCGGUGCAGAUAUUCAGCUGCCUGUGGACUUCCAGGACAUGUACAAUCUAUUGCGGGAAGAAGACCUUGACAUCGUCCAAAUCACCUUAUUCUCUCUGUAAGUGAUGAUUGCGACCUUCAUAGACCAAUCUCUACAUUUGUAUUGGAGAACUAUAUGAUUUUUCGGACACGAUGACUUGUCCGUGCAGGUUGACGGUCACUAUUAGCAACAAAAGGCACCAUCCUAUCCUAUACCUCUCUCCAAUGCAUAUUGCUGAGAGAGUGAUCAAGGGUUUCCAGAUAACGGACCCAGAGUUGACCGUGCGGCAGAGGGAAAAGAAGUACGAAGAAAACAUGAAAGAGGAGAAGAAGAAAUUGUCAAGGUACAUCUUUGAGGUAAUGAAGAAGCUCAACCCGGAUGGGCCGCAUUGUAUUAUGGCUGCCUACCACUUUGGGUAAGUCGAAACAUCCAUGUAGAGCAAAAGUGGCUAGGGUCAUGCCUUCUCGUUGACAUAACCUAUACUUGUUUCAAUGGUGUAGAAAUGACCUAGCCGGCGGCCACUGGGUUGCCUUCCUCGUAUAUCCUCAAGAUGGCCGGGCUGUUAUAUUUGACUCGUUACAGGUACCGAACAAAAAGGGGUACAAGGCCUUCGAAGACUGCUUGAAAAAGUAAGCCACCGAGCUUCUUGAUCCUUUACGGUUAUCAUAUUCAAAUUGACGCUAACACUACUACACUUCGUGCAGCGCUUAUAGUGCAUAUCUCAAGGAUCCGCAAUGCUUGGAUCGGAGAACGGAGAAAUUCAAAAAGAGGCAUAAGCACCACCUCAAAAUCCGACGCGAUUUCCCCGUAAGUAUAUUUCAAAGGUAGUUUAAUUAUGCUUUUGGUAUAUAUGUGCUCUAAUGCUUUUGUAUCGAUCGUGCAGUGCGCCAAACAACCCUUGGGAUCAAAGGCAUGUGGCUUGUACACCUGCGAGAACCUAAGGGAAAGCAAGGAGUACACCAACAGCUGGAAGAAGCUCAAAGAAGCAGUGAAGAAUCGUGGAGAGACGAUGAAGAAUGAACGCCAAGCUUUUAAGCAAAUCAAGGCGGACAUCUGUAAGUUCAUCCUAGAGAAAUGCGUGCUCGAAGGCGAACCAUUCUUCGACAAUGAAGGUGAAUUGGCAGUUCGACCUGAGUUCGAGAAGCUUAGGAGAUGGGACACCAUGCUACGGCCGACGGAUUACACCCACGCAGUAGAAUUGUGAUGUGUAGCGGAUUCGUGGGUUUGUGUAUAUGUGGAUGAUGAGAACAACUAAGUGGAUUUAUAUAUUAUGUUGUGUCUUAUGUAUUGAACUUUCAGGCAUAUGUGUGUCUGUAUAUAUAUAUCUUCUGUUUCUAAAAUGAAAUCUACUUUCUGGAAUUUGUAAAUUGUUUAAAUUCAUAUUGAGCAAUGGUUCUGCAAUGUGUUUUUUUAUUUAAAAACACUUAACCGUGGCGGGCAACAUAAAGAGCCCGCUACGGUUAAUCUAUUAACCGUAGCGGGCGACGUAAAGAGCCCGCUGCGGUAAAUUGGAAUUAACCGUAGCGGGCGCUUUACGUUGCCCGCUACAGUUAAUCGAUUAACCGCAGCGGUCAGCGGCGCCCGCCACGGAAGUGGCCACGAUUUACCGUGGCCUUAUGGCCGUGGCGGACGCGUUUGCCCGCUACGGAAAAGGGAAAAUGGCCACCACGGUUAUUCUUUCUGCAGUAGUGACAAUCAAUUCCAUCAUAUGCCAUGUCCUGUUUUGAUCUUACUAAAUCUCUUUGUGAUGAGAUAGGCAAAAUGAUAUGUAGAUACUGGUGGGCGCAACAAGAUAAGGAGAAUAAAAUGCAUUGGGUCUCUUGGGAGGAAAUGUGUAGAAGGAAGGAGGAAGGUGGUCUUGGUUAUAGAGACCUUCAUCUUUUCAAUUUGGCUAUGUUAGCACGACAGGGUUGGAGAAUUUUGCAAAAUCCUGAUUCAUUAUGUGCGCAGCUGUUGAGAGCGAAGUAUGGCACAAAUGGCUCCUUGUUGCAGACUAGUGAAGGACCGGGUAUAUCCUAUACUUGGCGUAGUAUUGUCCGUGGACUCCAAGCAUUGCAAAAGGGACUGAUUUGGCGGAUUGGAGAUGGAAUGCAAAUUAAUAUUUGGGAAGAUCCAUGGAUAUCAAAUGGGAUUACCAGGAGGCCGAUUACACCUAGGGGUCAUACAAUAUUGACCUGGGUUGCUGACUUGCUGCAUCUGGACACGGGGAGAUGGGAUGAAGACCUGGUACGUGAUGUAUUCUGGGAGGAGGACGUGCGAUAUAUAUUCACAACACCAACCAAUCCAAAUCAUGAGGAUGUUUUAGCUUGGCAUUUUGACAAUAAAGGUCAGUUUUCGGUGAAGUCUGCCUAUCAUGUCUUGGAUGAUGAGAAGAAUCGGGAGAAAACUCGACAGCAAGGAGAGGGGAGUAGCAGCGCCAAUUCUGGGAACCAGAGAAACGCCAUUUGGCGCAAAAUUUGGAAACUUCCAUGCUAGCCCAAAGUGUGGCAUUUCCUUUGGAGAGUAGCGCGAAAUAGCCUUGCACUAAUGAUGAAUAUCCAGAGAAGGGGUGUGAAGCUCGACAUAAGAUGUCCAAUGUGUCAUCGAUUGGAUGAAGAUGGAGGGCAUUGUUUUCUAAAAUGCAAGCUGGUGAGACGAUGUUGGUCUUGCCUUUCACUUGAGCCGGUUCGUCAACAUCUAUUACUCAAGCAAUCGGCAUGGGAGGUGGUGACUGAAAUAUUGGCUUUGAAGGAAGAAGUCCAAAUCAAAACUGUGUUACUUCUCUAGAAGUGGUGGAGUGUGAGAAAUAAAAUUAACAAAGGAGAGAAGGGCCAGACUGGAGAGGAAGUUGCUGCUGAUGUGCUAAACUUGAUGUGUGAUCUGAGGGAGUUGGAGAUAAAGUCGGUACGGGAGGUGAUUAGGAGUGCUGGUUGGAAGGCUCCACCGCCUGGACAGCUCAAGAUCAAUUCAGAUGGAUCAUUUAUCCAGGAGACGUUACAAGGGAGCUGGGGCUUCAUUAUCCGUGACCAUGAGGGCGACGGGGUACUUGCAGGAGCUGGUCGCCUGGGAUCAAUCCCAGAUGCAUUGACAACAGAGGCAGCAACAUGUGCUCAGGCAUUGCAAGCAGCUACAGAUUAUGGUAUAUCGCACGUACAAGUGGAGGUGGACUCAACUGCUCUUCAGCAAGCUCUCCAAUCAUCGUCCAUGGAUCUUGUCACUUGUGGAAUGUUGCUCAUUGACACUCGUUCUUUGCUUUGUGAGCAUUUUGUAUGCGGUAAAAUUCUCUCUAUUCCUAGAGCUUGUAAUGGAUUAGCACAUAACUUAGCCAAGCUUGCUAUGUGUUGGGACCCGGGCAAUUACCAUGUUUGGGCAAGCCCCCUCCCAGAAUUUGUAAAAUCUUUGAUUGCUCACGAUGGCGUCGAGCCUAUGUUUUUAAUGACAGGGCCAUAGAGCCAGGUUAUGAAUAAAAAAAAGAAACAAUUCACAGUGGCAUUCACCAAUGUUAAUUUCCAUUGGUUAAGCUGUGCUAUAACGAUUCAUAGAGUCACCCGAUCCCACUCCAUACAAUGAACUUAACACCCAUAACCUACUGCAAACGAAUCAUGUCACUGACAGUGUUACCUCACAAGAGCCAAACAAUCAAAUUGUUUGAUAACUUUUUUCAGGGUACCACAACACUCAUUUCGUUCCAUUUAUGUUUGCAUUGGCACUUCACUUACCAAACAACACCGUAAUAUCUAUCCCAGUUGAUCAUAGCAAAUUCCUAAAGUUAUGAUCGAUACAUGUGGAUCUAAAUCAUUUUCAAGUAAAACCAUCGACGAACGAGCCAUAGUGAGACUUAACGAGAAAAGCUCAAUUGUUCCAAUAGUACAAAAAGAUGUUCUCAAUUUGGAUAGAACAAGUUUUUAAGAGUUCUUUGGAAUUAUGUGAUGAUACCACAAAAAAUGGCACAUGGAAAUAGUAACUUUUAGUGGUAAGUCAUGAAAGCUAAGGGAAGGUGGGAGCAGAUAGUUACAAAUAGAAGAUCAUAAACAAGGGGAAAGUUUAAUUUCCUAACACAUCAGACAAAAGGAACCCCAUGGACAUAUUGAGAAUGUAAGCUCCAAGUAAGAAUAUCUGGCAUAAGGAGAGGACAAUAUGAUGAAACAAAGGAUAUGGAGAAGAAUUUGGAAGAUCGAUGAGGCCAAGGUCCAUAAAUUUAAUGACAUCGAAUGUGAAGUACAGGAAUGGUAUAUGUAUUGCUACAAUGCUACACCUAGUUAUGAAUUGUGGCAUAUAAAAAACACUCAUGUAUGGUCCAUCUAGCGUGGUGCUUCCCUAUAGGUAGAGUUUUUGUCUUCCCCUAAAAUGUAGUACUGGUGAACUGGUGGCCGAUCAACAUGGAUCAUUAAGAAUGUUGUAGACGAUGUUGUAGUGAAAGCUUUGCAUAUCGAGGCCUUAGGGGUUGUACUUGAUACCUUCUAGUUGAGUCACGGAGGUGUCACAAAUUAAAAUAGGUAUGGUUAUUGUAAGUUUUUGGCUCAAAACUCAAGAGACUACACCUUGUGUACAUUUCUAAGCUAUUCCUCAAAGGAUCCAAGACCACAAGGGUAUGUUCCAUUAUGUGCUAUAGCGCAUCAAUCAUAUUUUUAGGAACAUAUAUAUAUAUAUAUAUAUAUAUAUAUAUAUAUAUAUAUAUAUAUAUAUAUAUAUAUAUAUAUAUAUAUAUAUAUAUAUAUAUAUAUAUAUAUAUAACGAUGCCAUAAAAUAGGAAAAAAUAGCAUGUUCAAGUUCUUGGAACAAUGAACAAAAGAUUUGUGAUGAACACCCACAUUCUUUUGCAAUAAGAUUCCUUUAACUCAAACCACAAGUAAUGAAGAACCAAGUGAAUGAAGAAUAAACAAAGGACAAUACAACAUAGAGUGAGUUGGAAAGGGUGCUUGGUGCACUCUACAAAAUUUCUUUUGCGUGGCCUUACCAUUUUUUGAUUGGAGGCGGGCACACCUCCCGACCACCUCCAUUGUUCCAAGCCAGGUCACCCUCCCAAAGGCCCCCUUGGUUAAACUUUAACGGAGGUAGUUCGUAUCCUCGAUUAACCAGGUGGUUGCAUAAUAACAACCACCUUCCAUUAAUCCAUUAACAAAGGUGGUUGUCUUAAGGUGUCUGUUUCUGUUAAUGAAUUAACGGAGGUGGUCAUUAUAAAAUAACCACCUCCAUUAAUGAAUUCAUGUGUACCAUGUCAAUGAUCCAUUAGCAAGGCUGGUGGCCACUCGUAGCCUUCCACGUGUUUGAGGGGUCCACUCGUCAUAGGCACAAAAGAAGCACAAACCAAAGGAGGCGGUGACACACGGUCUCUCUCUCUCUAUGAGCCAUGGCCUAUCUCUUUCUCAUGCCUUCCUCUGCUCCCUCACUGCUCCUUCUCUCUAUGUGGCAACGAAGCCGGCGGCCACAAAGGCCUCCCUCUCUAUUCCCUCUCUCUCUCUCUACAUGGCAACGAUGAUUGCAGUGAGGAGGAGACAAGCCGGAUCCGGUGGAGGGCAGCCAGAUUUGAUGGAGGCUAGCCCGAUCAGGUGAAGGAAAGCGCCGACGUCGCCGAUGGGCAGGUACAGUCUCCUCAUCUCUCUCUAUCUUCCUCUCUUUAUCUCCCUCACUCACUCUUCCCUCUCCCCUUUUGCAGAUCUAGUGCUGGCUGGAGCCGCACAGACGAUAGCGGCGAUAGGUGGAACCCUAGGAACCGGCACGAGCGAGGACGACUGAGGUGGCAAGAAAGAGGACGGUGGCACAUGAGCGACCUUCACGAUGUCGACGGUAGCCGUCACAGACCAUGGAAAGGAUGACUUAGAUGAUGGAGGCUCCAGAAACUGAAGCUAGCUAGCUCCAGGACCUAGAUUUUUUUAUUUUUUUGUUAACCGUGGCGGGCCUAGUCUUGUGACCGCCUCCAUUAAAGACCUAUUAAUAGAGGCGGUUGCCUUAUAGCGCCAGCCUCUAUUAAUGUUUUAAUAGAGGGGGGCAGGGGCAACCGCCUCCAUUAAGUCAUAAUUAACCGUGACCUAUCGUUGGAGACGAUUGCCCCAGCCCGCCUCCAUUAACGAAAAACAACCGCCUCCAAUAAAAAAAAUCUCUAGUAGUGGUGUAUACUUCUGUUGGAUAUAUUUGAUCUAGUGUGCUAAUAAUAUAUUUGUUAGUGACUUCUAUGUAUACCUAUUACAAGUUAUUUUGCAUGUUAUAUGUAUCAAAAGUUCCAAACAAUAGUUCAUAGGCACAUGUCAUUUUCAUUUAUCUAGCAGUUUAAGAAUUAAAUACAAAACCCUAUCACUUUCAUUCUAAUUCAUUUUCAUUAUUUGCAAAGGUGUAAUUCUCUUAAGGGACAACAACAUGUGUAUUAGGUGCUCAAUUAGAUCUAACAAAAUCUCGAUGCUGUUUUUGGGUGUGACAUGUGGUUGCAGGGACAAGAUGGUUCAAGCUUUGUCAGUUUCCCCGAGUAAAUAUUUAUGUCAUUCUAAAAAUGGCGAGUUAGUUUACAUCAAAGGUUUUAGAACACGUAUGAUGAUAUGCGGCAUUGGAGAGCAAUAAGUGCACCUUAUUGUUGCCCAAACAUAGUUCAUCUACUUGCAUGAAUGUUGUUCUCACAUGUACAAUAAUAUAAUUGCACAUUAAGUGGCCAAAGAUCAAUUUAGGUGUUGGUCUUUGUGUGUGCAUAAUUCCGAUAAUUCUAUCUACAUGAACAAUUGUCAUACAAAGUCAGGUUAAUUUAUCUAAUGACAAUGAAUUUAAAUUUUUUUUAUAUUUCCAUGAUAGAAAUAGUGUUUUUAAACUGUUAUAUAUAAUUCAAAGUGAACAUUACAACUAAGAUUACCAUCAAUCCCACUAUGCAUAGUCGCAUGGCUGGUCCCACCUAACACAACACACAAUUUUGGAUAUUAUACCAACAUGAUGAUGUUUGUGUGUGUGGUAAUGCUCAAUUAAUCAAGCAUCACACUAUAAGGACGAUUUAUAUCUUCUUACUCUCAAUCUUAGGGCAAAAUAAUUAUCGGGCACAUUUGGAGACUAGUAACACAUUAGAAUCUAGAAAUAUAUAAUUUAUUAUUUCUGAGAAGCCUCAGACAUCAGCCUAAAAACUUCAUUAUUGAAUUACAACUAGUAAGCAAUCUAAAAGAGGGCACCACCAAUGAAGGGUUGUUGGCAGGACGUUGCUGGGUUCGCCAGAGCAAGCUGGAUGAAUGGCAACAACUGUUGUUGUUGAAAGAGGGUGGCGGCAUUAGCCACACCCUGCGGGUAGAACGGCAGCAGCUGUUGUUGUGGCCAGAAGGUGGCAGGACUCACAGCACCUAGCUGGCUGAAUUGUAGUAGUAGUUGUAGCUGCAAAUAGGCAGCAGGGUUCACUGCAGCUAGUUGGUUGAAUGGGAGCAACUGUUGUAGUUGUAAGAGGGUGGCGGCGUUAGCCACACCCUGCGGGUAGAACGGCAGCAGCUGUUGUUGUGGCCAGAAGGCGGCAGGGCUCGCAGCAGCUAGCUGGCUGAAUUGUUGUAGUUGUUGCAGCUGCAAAUAGGCAGCGGGGUUCACUGCAGCCAGUUGGCUGAAUGGAAUAAACUGCUGUUGCUGGGAGUACGCAGCAAGGUUUGCCAACGUUACUUGGUUGAUCGAAGGUAGCACCAGUUGCUGCAGUUGUUGUGCCCUGAUGCUUUGUGCCAACAAAUUCACCAAGGACAACUGCUGCAAUAGGGCCGAUGGUUGUUGGAUGAACAAGGGUGAUGACUGUAAGAUGCUUGCUGCGAUUGCCUGUUGGAGCCCAUAGGGUUGUAGCAUUGGGUUUGCGCACACUGGUGGGAGGUAUGCGGGAUGAGGGGCAGCUAUAGAAAUUUGUGAGCAGUGCGGUUGCGGGAUAUAGGUCGCGGUAGCAGCACUUGCAAAAAGAGCAAGGAGCAUAAUGAGGGAAAAUAUCUUGGCCGCCAUUGUUGCUAUGUUGCUAGUGUAUUCCACUUUCUAUGUUGCUAGUUGGUCUCAAUAAUAUGGGUGAUGGAUUACCUACUGAUCUGGGGGGUAUUUAUACUCAUGUUAAGCCUUGUGGUUGUGCAAGAUUUAUUUUGGCUUUUACCAAAAAACAUAAUAGUAAGAUAAGCUAGAGAUGACGUGGUAUCUAGUUGGUUUUGACAUUUAGUUGCCACUUUGUUGGGUUAUACUUUAUACAUCUGCAAUACAAUCUCCACAAAAUACACUAAAUAAGUGGUUUUGUCCUCUUGGUAUUUUCCAAAUACUUGGGUGACAAUGGCUCGAUCCAUUCACCUUUACACAUGUGUAGCCUUAGCCACAUAUGUGCGGCUUGGUUAGGCUAUUUUGCACCAGAAAAAAAAUUCAUGGUGGUAUUCACCAAUGUUAAUUUGCAUUUGGUUAUUUUGUGCUAUAAUCGGUUCAAGGAGUCACUCGUUCCAUGUCGUACAAUGCGGUUACCACCCAUAACCUACCACAAAUGGAUCAUGUCAACGGCAGUGUUACCUCACAAGAACCAAACAAUCAAAGUAUUUGGGGAACAACAAUAUUCAUUUCCAUUUCACUUUUAUUGACACUCCACUAACCAAACAACACCAUAAUAUCUAUUCCACUUGAUUAUAGUCAAUACCUAAAGAUUGACAAAUACCUAAGUCAUUUUCAACUAACACUAUUACAGAAAGAUCAGCACAACCAGUUUGGAAACCUGCAUCGCCGCCACUUCCAGCACUCGGCAGUGAAUUAUCGACAGUGAUGGCCAUGGUAAUCAUGUCCAGUUAGUAAUUAGUGGUGGUUAUAUGCUAUCACCACCAUUUUGGAGUUCAAUCUAGCUGCGAUAACAUCAAUAUCAUCGCUGAGUUUAUUUUUUGUUCAGGCGUUGAAGAUCCUACAAAUGUUGUCGGGUUUAUAACAAAAUCCAACAAUGAUGGUCAUUUGGUCACCAUCGGUCAGUUGUACACACCGGCAAUGUUGAGAGUUCCUACACCACUGAUCAGUGCUGCAGUCUAUAUAUGACAAGCGUUGAUCACCACAGGUCAGUGGUCACUGUCGGCAGUGAUGAUCAAUUGAUCGACAUCUGUUCAAUUCAUACCCGAUGAUGAUCACUACUACAUCACCAAUGGUAGCUUGAGCUGGUGUCGAUGGCCUUCAUUGAUGGAAUGAUAUUGCAUCUGUGUUUUCACAUUUAUGAAAAAUUCUACUUAAUUAACUCCCUCAACUAUUGUGUGUUAUAUAUCGUGCAGUGUUUGAAGCAACCUUGAUAGGGAGUGCUAUAUGUCUAUUUAUGUUUUAACUUUGUAUGAAUUUUAAGACCCCUAAUUUAUGUUAGGAUAACCAUGUCAUAUAUAAUAUAUAAGUUAACAUUGGUUAUAAUAUGAUAGUGUACAAUAUAAUUAAACUUGUGUCAAAUUAAAUUUGAAAAUACAACAUUGAUAGACUUUUUUCUUCCACUGCAAAGCAAAGGAAUACUUAGAUGUAAAUAUAUCGUAACUAUAAAAAAUGUAUUGUCAGUUAUGAGAUUUGCAUCAAGUAUAGAGGGUCUUGAGUAAUGCUAAUACUAAUAUUAGUAUUAGUUAUAGAUAUAGACAAAUUAAUAAUAAUUAAUUAUAUUAAUUAUUACAUACAGGUUAGAUCCAAAUUUUAUCCUGUUGACGCCAUUUUUGGUAACGAGUCAAGGUAAUCAAAAUGGACCUAUUGGCAGUAAAGAGAUUAUUGCAUUAUGCCGAUAGGAGAGGUGCCGAUGAAGAUCGGCUGAUAGAGAUUGUUGCCGAUGGAAGGUCAUGAUCGGUGGAAAGGUUGUCUUUUAAAUUGAAUUAAAGAGUGUUGAUCAGAGAUGGUGUUUGCCAAUGUCGAUUCAGGGGUCAUUGCCGAUGAAGCCUGUAAUGAUUCAUUGCCGAUGUCGAUGAAGGAGGACAUGAAGACUGCUGCUGAUGAAGCUUGAAAUAACAGGGAACAUGCCGAUGGAGCAGGAGCCGAUGGAGAUUUCAUCGUGAUUGAGGCGGACACGAGAGUAGAUAGAUGUUAUUUUCUAUUUUUUAUAUUUGUUAGGGUAUACCUUACGUAAGAAUCCUGUUUUAUCUUAAAGUCGGAUCCUAGUCGUGUUUGGUUGUAUCUCUUUAGGACAGGGUAUAAAUAUAGACCAGAGGGCAAUGUAAUGAGACAAUCAAUCAAUAUCAAAUCCAAGUUUACUCCUACUUUUGCAUGUACUUACUUUUCGACGACUUCGUCAAUUCACAUAUUUUCUUUUUACGAGUUCUCUUGGUUCGGCGAGUUGCAUUGUUCUAGCGCAAAUCUCGACGAUCCUCGAGUUCCGUGUGAGUACCUCUUGACCGUGACUUUCGGGCGCAUCACUGUUGUCGGGACCAAAGUACUUGAGUUAGACCAAAGUACUUGAGUUAUCAUCCUUAUCGAUUAACAGGUCAAAUCGACUGACACGUCUAGGAUAUCGGAUUGGGUUUUGUGUUUGCAGAUUCACUUUUGCAUCAACAGAUCCCAUUUUCUUCCACAUGUUUUGCAAUCCAUCUUCGGUCUUUUUUCGAUCAUACUUUGGUUGUCAGCAGGACGUGAGUUCGAGUCAUACACGGGAUAAUUAAACCAAUUAUAACUCUAAUCUCUAGUAUAGUUAAACCAACUAGGACUAGUAUAUUCUGAAAAGUGGAAGGACACACAAUAGGAAGAGAAUGUGACAGACGACCAAAAUUUUGUAGAAAACUUUUUCACUCCUUAUAUUAGAUCUCUGUUCCAAACGCUAUGCUAUAAGGUUGGCUCGGGAAUGUAAUCUCCUAGUCUUGUAGGUAGAUUUGUGGCAUGGUGGACACUGCCCCAUAGAGCCCCCACGGCCCACAGAACACAGACACCAGCUUGCCGCAUUCUAUUAAGAUUCCUUGACGCUCGGGAGUAGACAUAGUACAUGAUUAGACCUUAAUAUUCUCACCAAUGUUAAUUUCUGUUUGCUUAAUUUGUGCUAUAGUCAGUUGAAGGAGUCACUCGUUCCUGUGCCAUUCGUUCCUAUGCCAUACAAUGCGAUUACCACCUGCAACCUACCACAAAUGGAUCAUGUCGACGGUAAUGUUAACUCACAAGAACAAAACAAUCAAAGUAUUUCUAAAAAUGGUGAGUUAUUUUACAUCAAAGGUCUGCACUGGAGAGCAAUAAGUGCACCUUAUUGUUGGAAAAAAAGUUCCAUCUACUUGCAUGAAUGCUGUUCUCACAUGUACUAUAAUAGAAUUACAUAUUAGUGGCCAAUGAUCAAUUUAGGCAUUGGUCUUUGUAUGUGCACAAUUCCCAUAAUUCUAUCUACAUGAGCAGUUGUCAUACAAAUUAAGUCAGGUUAAUUUUUCUAAUGCUGAUGAAUUUAAAGUUUUUUAUAUUUCCAUGAUAGAAAUAGUGUUUUUGAUACUUUUUUCUAUAAUUCAAAGCCAAUAUUACAAUUAAGAUUACCAUCAAUCCCACUAUGCACAUUCGGAAUGGCUAGUCCCACAUAACACAGUAUGCAUUUUUGCAAGAUUAUACCAACAUGAUGAUGUUUAUGUGUGGUAAUGCUCAAUUAAUCAAGCAUCACACUAUAAGGUUGAUUUAUAUCUCCUUACUCUCAAUCUUAGUGCAAAAUAAUUAUCGAACACACCAGGAGACAAGUAAGACAUUAGAAUACGGAAGCAUAAUUUAUUAUUUCUGAGAAGCCUCAGACAUGAUAGCCUAAAAACUUCAUUAUUGAACUACAACUAGUAAGAAAUCUAAAAGAGGGCACCACCAAUGAAGGGCUGUUGGCAGGACGUUGCUGGGUUCGCCAGAGCAAGCUGGAUGAAUGGCAGCAACUGUUGUUGCUGAAAGAGGGUGGCGGCAUUAGCCACACCCUGCGGGUAGAAUCGCAGUAGCUGUUGUUGUGGCCAGAAGGUGGCAGGACUCACAGCACCUAGCCGGCUGAAUUGUAGUAGUUGUUGCAGCUGCAAAUAAGCAGCAGGGUUCACUGCAGCCAGUUGGUUGAAUGAGAGCAACUGUUGUAGUUGUAAGAGGGUGGCGGCGUUAGCCACACCCUGCGGGUAGAACGGCAACAGCUGUUGUUGUGGCCAGAAGGCGGCAGGGCUCGCAGCAGCUAGCUGGCUGAAUUGUUGUAGUUGUUGCAGCUGCAAAUAGGCAGCGGGGUUCACUGCAGCCAGUUGGCUGAAUGGAAUAAACUGCUGUUGCUGGGAGUACGCAGCAAGGUUUGCCACCGUUACUUGGUGGAUCGAAGGUAGCACCAGUUGCUGCAGUUGUUGUGCCCUGAUGCUUUGUGCCAACAAAUUCACCAAGGACAACUGCUGCAAUAGGGCCGAUGGUUGUUGGAUGAACAAGGGUGAUGACUGUAAGAUGCUUGCUGCGAUUGCCUGUUGGAGCCCAUAGGGUUGUAGCAUUGGGUUUGCGCACACUGGUGGGAGGUAUGCGGGAUGAGGGGCAGCUAUAGAAAUUUGUGAGCAGUGCGGUUGCGGGAUAUAGGUCGCGGUAGCAGCACUUGCAAAAAGAGCAAGGAGCAUAACGAGGGAAAAUAUCUUGGCCGCCAUUGUUGCUAUGUUGCUAGUGUAUUCCACUUUCUAGGUUGCUAGUUGGUCUCAAUAAUAUGGGUGAUGGAUUACCUACUGAUCUGGGGGGUAUUUAUACUCAUGUUAAGC
rnacentral:lncRNA from 1 species